rnacentral:lncRNA from 1 species
GCAAUCAUAAGUACAGGUGUCGGGCAGCAUCAAAUGUGGGCUGCACAGUUUUACAAUUAUAGGAGGCCUCGGCAGUGGUUGACAUCCGGAGGAUUAGGGGCUAUGGGUUUUGGGUUGCCAGCUGCUAUUGGAGCUGCUGUUGCAAAGCCUGAUGCCAUUGUUGUGGACAUUGAUGGAGAUGGGAGCUUUAUCAUGAAUGUCCAGGAGUUGGCUACUAUCAGAGUGGAGAACCUUCCUGUUAAAAUUCUUCUAUUGAACAAUCAACACCUGGGCAUGGUUGUCCAAUGGGAGGAUCGCUUCUACAAGGCCAAUAGGGCACACACUUACUUAGGAGAUCCGUCGAGAGAGUCUGAGAUAUUCCCAGACAUGUUGAAGUUUGCUGAAGCUUGUGGAAUACCUGGUGCUCGGGUGACCAAGAAAGCAGAUGUUAGAGCUGCAAUUCAGACAAUGCUGGAUACUCCUGGGCCAUACUUGCUAGAAGUGAUCGUUCCCCAUCAAGAGCACGUCUUGCCUAUGAUUCCAAGUGGUGGGGCUUUUAAAGAUGUGAUAGUCGAGGGUGAUGGACGAUCAGCAUACUGAUGUCCUGAAUGAUCUUGUACGUUGCUGUGGCCUUAUCAUGAGAGUUGAGGCACUUCCUUCCCUUUUAAUUUUUAACUCAUGCUAAUGCAUGGGAAGAUCUUUAGUUGUUUUACUUGUAAUGGCACAAAGUAGUUUGUAGUUAGGUAAUAUCAGAGCUUGUGAAGGUUGAUUUAGUUAUCAUCACUGGUUCGCUGAGAAUAAAUUGCGGUUUAGUGAUGGUGUUCCAUCUUUGAUGGUGAAGAUCUCAUAAUAUUAUGUCUUGUUUAUGUCGAAUUUGUUCUGGUUUAAAUCUUGUAGUUACAGCCUGGUACGGUAAUGUUGAAGUGACGAUUUCGUACCAAGAUGAAUGCCUCAUUAGUUGCAAUCGGAGUUGGGUUACAUGUUAUUGGAUGUUUUAUGUGUGGCAUGAGUGCACUGCAGCUUCUUUAGUUUCCUUUUGAAAGUCGAGUCACUGCUUGCAUUGCUUCCAUCAGGGCUUUGCAGUCUAUUGAUACUUCCAUUGCCCUUGGUGGAAAAUUGGGACAGAACUCCAAGGGUGAUUAGUUUGCUCAUCGAGAAUGGACAUCUUUACUUGGGUGCGUGAAAUAUCUUCGUUUAUGACAACCGAAUGUGUUAAACCUUUAAAUGGGUUGUUCUGGUGAUGAUUUACCUACUCCUACUCUCAUGCUACUGAUGUUCUGCAAGUGGUAGAUUGAUGGGCAAGUGUUCUUCCAAUGCUUUUAAUUCUCUCCUUGUAAUACUAGUUUGGAAAGUACACUAUGUGUCAUUCACUUUUUCAGGUAUGGUAGUGCAUGCUUUGUUCAAUUUCCGAGUUGAUAAGAAUCGGGACACAAGCUCAGGGUCCUUGCGCUUGCUGGGAUCGCACGAGUGGGUUGUCCUUCACGGUUGGCGUGAGUGCAGGGUUUGAGCACUUUGAAGUAGGUCUGCUUCAAGAUUUUGAGUUGAAGUUUCAGGAGUCGUCAUUUUCGUUUUAAAUGCUAGGAUGGGGAAGAGGAAUGUACAAUGCAGUCCAUUGCCAAUCGAAUCCCAGUUUCGAAAACUGGUGCGGUCUGUCGUUCCUCAACCAGAAUGAUCUCUUCUCAUGUCUAACGAUCUCUCCAGAUAACUCGAGUCAGUGAUAUUGUUGAGUUUUAACUCUGACGUUCCUCAACCGGAAUGAUCUCUUCUCAUGUCUAACGAUCUCUCCAGAUAACUCGAGUUAGUGAUAUUGUUGAGUUUUAACUCUGACAUUCCUCAACCGGAAUGAUCUCUUCUCAUGUCUAACGAUCUCUCCAGAUAACUCGAGUCAGUGAUAUUGUUGAGUUUUAACUCAAAAGACGAUGUGGAGGAUACAUACUCAAAACACUCAAAACAGAAAUCUUUACGAAGAAGAUUAGACCCGACAACAUGGAGGAUGCAAACAUCAAACCCAAAACAGAAAUCUUCUGAAAAAAGAAGAGGUCCGCAAAAGAUUUUUUAUGAUUGAUAAAUUGAGGAUCAGAAGUCUGAAUGAAUGAAUUUGAGUAAAAGCAUUGUAAAGAAUGAUUUCUUUUCUCUUCUGGACAAAAUGAAGAAGAGAAGGACAGAGGAGGAGGUGUGGAGAGUGGGAUUUGAACCCACGCCCUUUCGGACCAGAACCUUAAUCUGGCGCCUUAGACCAACUCGGCCAUCUCCACGUGUACGAAGCUAAAAACCAGAAGACAUACUACUAAUCGUUAAACAGAUGACAUUCUGCCAACCAUGUGCAGUGGUUGACAUCCGAAGGAUUAGGGGCUAUGGGUUUUGGGUUGCCAGCUGCGAUUGGAGCUGCUGUUGCAAAACCUGAUGCCAUUGUUGUGGACAUUGAUGGAGAUGGGAGCUUUAUCAUGAAUGUCCCGGAGUUGGCUACUAUCAGAGUGGAGAACCUUCCUGUUAAAAUUCUUCUAUUGAACAAUCAACACCUGGGCAUGGUUGUCCAAUGGGAGGAUCGCUUCUACAAGGCCUAUAGGGCACGCACUUACCUAGGAGAUCCGUCGAGAGAGUCUGAGAUAUUCCCAGACAUGUUGAAGUUUGCUGAAGCUUGUGGAAUACCUGGUGCUCGGGUGACCAAGAAAGCAGAUGUUAGAGCUGCAAUUCAGACAAUGCUGGAUACUCCUGGGCCAUACUUGCUAGAAGUGAUCGUUCCCCAUCAAGAGCACGUCUUGCCUAUGAUUCCAAGUGGUGGGGCUUUUAAAGAUGUGAUAGUCGAGGGUGAUGGACGAUCAACGGGAAAAGUACAAAAAAAGUCCUAAACCUAUUGUAUUAGUACCAAUUCAAUCAUAAACCUUUUAAUAUUGGUACAAAUUCAGUCCAUCCAGCCAAUUUUAGCCGGCCGGCACUGACGUGGACGUCUGCCGAUGAUCGGACGUUGACGUGACAAUUUUUAUGAUUUUUUUGAUUUUUUUUUUGAAAUUUUUAUUAAUUUUUUUUUUCUUUGCGUCUUCUUCCUGGAGGUGACCAGCGAGCCUCCGGUGAGGCUCGCUGGCCAUUGGGCGAGGGCCGCGAAGCCCUUGCCUGCCACCAGCGAGGGUUGCAGCCCUCGCCCGGCCUCUCCUAGGGCCGCUGGCAAGGCAGCUUCGCUUGGAUCUGGGCGAGGCCAGCCUCGCCCGCGGCUGGGGAGGCUAGCCUUGCCUGCGGUUGGCGAAACCAUGGCGGCCAUCGCCAGGGCGGAGGUGAGGGCCGCGAAGCCCUCGCCAGCGACUGUCGAGGGUCGCGGCCCUCACUCGGCCUCACCUAGGGCUGCCUCGCCCGCGGCUUAGCCCAGAUCUGGGCGAGGCCAGCCUGCACCAUCGGAGCAGCGAGGGCCACGACCCUCACGGCGACUCGCCGACCACCUCCAGGAAGAAGACGAAAAGAAAAAAAAAAUAAAAAAAAAUAAAAAAAAUUCGAAAAAAAAAUCAUAAAAAUUACCACGUCAGCGUCUGGUCACCGGCCGACGUCCACAUCAACACCGGCUGGCCAAAAUUGGCCAGAUAAACUGAAUUGGUAUCAAUAUUGAAAGGUUUAUGAUUGAAUUGGUCCAAUUGAAAAUUUAGGACUAAAUUGGUAACAAUGUAAUAGGUUUAUGAUUUUUUUUGUACUUUUCCCGACGAUCAGCAUACUGAUGUCUUGAAUGAUCUUGUACGUUGCUGCGGCCUUAUCAUGAGAGUUGUGGCACUUCCUUCCCUUUUAGUUUUUAACUUGUGCUAAUGCAUGGGAAGAUCUUUAGUUGUUUCACUUGUAAUGGCACAAAGUAGUUUGUACAUAGGUAAUAUCAGAGCAUGUGAAGGUUGAUUUAGUUAUCAUCACUAGUUUGCUGAGAAGGACAAAUAAAUUGCGGUUUAGUGAUGGUGUUCCAUCUUUGAUGGUGAAGAUCUCAUAAUAAUAUCUCUUGUUUAUGUUGAACUUGUUCUGGUUUAAAUCUUGUAGUUACAGUCUGGUACGGUAAUGUUGAAGUGGCGAUUUUGUACCAAGAUGAAUGCCUUGUUAGUUGCAAUUGGAGUUGGGUUACAUGUUAUUGAAUGUUUUAUGUGUGGCAUGAGUGCACUGCAGCUUCUUUUGUUUUCUUUUGAAAGUCGAGUCACUGCUUGCAUUGCUUCCAUCAGGGCUAUGCGGUCUAUUGAUACUUCCAUUGCCCUUGGUGGGAAAUUGGGACAGAACUCCGAAGGGUGAUUAGUUUGCUCAUCGAGAAUAUCUUCGUUUAUGACAACCGAACGUGUUAUACCUUUAAACGGGUUGUUCUGGUCAUGAUUUACCUACUCCUACUCUUAUGCCACUGAUGUUCUGCAAGUGGUAGAUUGAUGGGCAAAUUUUUCUCUUCUUGCAAUGAAAACUUAUUAUUUUACCUUCUCUUGGACUUGGGAGACAAUCCCAGAUUUUUUGGUUCUUUUUCUCGAUGAAUUUUGGGACUAGUCUGAUCUAUGAACCAGUUGCAAUGUUUCUGACAAAAAAUGGUUGAUAUCUGAAACUCCAACUUCAAGAUGAAAGGAUGUGUUGGUUCUAUUGUGAGCUGGAAAGAUGAAGACAAUGUUUGAUGAAUAAACACAUAACCCUAACAGAACUUUCACAGCAUUGAAGAAUCUACAAGUUAAUAACCCAACCUCUGGUUACAUGUCAACCAUGGUUAAUAUUGUCGAAAUAGGCAAAUUACUUGGCACAGAUCUUUUCAGAGCCACCUUUUAAUUUCUUGGCUAAAAAACCAAAGACCUUAUUUAAUGAUCAUUUUCCUUUUGUUUACCCUACUCAUCUUCAUAUUCAAGUGGCUCAUAUUUUCUGCAAGGAUCCAACCAUUAGGAAGAAGAACCAAGCAAAAAAAAAAAAGAAAAAAAGGAGAAAAAGGGAAGAAAAAAAAGGGAAAAUGAAAAUACUCUUGACCGCUAGAAAGUUGGGCUCUUAUCUGAAAUGUGUUGGAGAAAUCCUUCUGGAAUAUUUUGAAGCUGACAAAACGUUUCUAUCAGUCUAGUCUGAAGUUUUGCAGACUCUACUAUUAAAGUCUGAAGACCUCCGGACUAUCAGACUCAAGACUCAAAGUCUAUUCUCAUUGACAGUUUCUAAGCCGUUGAAGAAAGGCUAUCCAGAACUGCUUCAUUAAGGAUUUGGCCUUAUCAACUGGAGAAGAUCUCUUGGCUGGAUAUUACAUAACUGAUUCCUUUAUUCAAAUCAAGAAUGAUUAAAGAUCCGAUGAUUGGCGAAGUAUUCUUGGAAGGUUCUACUUAUGGAAACUAAGAUCCUAAUUGUAUGGGCGAGCAGGAUUGAUGGGUUAUCGACAUGUUCCUUUAAUAGCUCGAAUAAUCUUCCUAAUUGAUUCUGUCCAACGGGAGGAUUGGAAGAAUUCAUUUGGUAAGUGCCAACGGGUAUGAUGGCACAAAAGAGUAUAAAAGGAAGACGUUCCAGUUGUUUGAGGUGGUGCACGAUAGAAGAAUUCCAAAGUUUGAAGCUCUUUGAUUCUUAGUCAAUUCACUUACUAAGCGAAAUCUUGUACGUAAAAGAGAGUCUAUAUUUUGAGAUAUCUUGAGGAAGUGUGGUAGAAUAUCUACACUAUGGAAUCAAGGGAAAGCAUUGCUGUAACAUCUCUUUUGUUCAUAGUGAAAUCUAGCCGGUGGGUUGUCAGUGCAGAAGAGUGGACGUAGGCUUGGAAUAAGCCGAACCACUAUAAACCUUGUGUUCAAUUUUCUUUUCCCUACUCUCUACUUUACUUUGUUCAUAGUUCAUUUUGUUAACUAAAUGAGAGCUUCUUUCCUAUUGUUUGCCUAGUAUUGCUUUCAUAUCUCGAGAAAUUAUUUAAACACAUAUUUACCCCCCUCUAGGUGCUAUUACUAGCUAUAUCAAUUGGUAUCAGAGCUUGUGUACUCACUUUGUUUGAAGUGCUUUACUUCAGAGUUAAAGAUCUAUGGCUAGUAUGCUAGCUCCAGGGCUGGUGGAAGGGCAAAGCAAUACCAAACCACCUUACUUUGAUGGAAAUGAUUACAACAUCUGGAAAAACAAGAUGAAAGUGUUCCUACGAUCAAAGGAUCCUCUAGAAUGGGACGUUGUAGAAAAAGGAAUCACUCCUAAAGCUGCAUCUGUCUCAAAGAGAGGAAAAGAAAUUGUUGAGUCAAGUGAAAUGACUCAGGAAGAGAUAAUCAAGAGACAAGCUCUUAAUGCAAAAGCAAUUUAUUCUUUAUAUUGUGCUUUGUCACCUACUGAAUAUAACAGAAUAUCUUCGUGUGUUACAGCAAAAGAAGUUUGGGAUAGAUUACAUAUCACCUAUGAAGGAACUAAUCGAGUGAAAGAGACUAGAAUCAACAUUCUCCUCGGUCAAUAUGAAGCCUUCAAAAUGAAAUCAUGAUAAUCUAUAACUGACAUGUUUAGUCGUUUUACAGAAAUUAUGAAUGGUCUUGAAAAUCAAGGUCAACCAAUUUUUGAUCCCAUGAAGGUAAACAAGCUACUGCGUGGACUCUCCAAGGAUUGGAAUCACAUAAAGACCUCAAUAAGAGAGACAUAAAGAAUCAUACCACUAUCUGUCGAUGAGUUGGUUGGAACUCUUCAGUCUUAUGAAGUAGAACGAAUCAAUGAAGACGAAGAUCCUAAAGGUAAGAAAUCCAUUGCAUUAAAAUCCAAUGAUGAUUCUGAUGUCACAGAUUCUGAAGACGAUAUGGACGAUGAGGAACUUGCUCUCAUGAUAAGAAGAUUCAGAAAGCUAAACAGAAAAGGAAAAAGAUUCAAUCCAAAUAAACAGAGUUUUCAAAAGCAACAAACCAAGUCUGUUGAUGAUGAUGAAUCAAACAAAGAUGUAGUUUGCUUUGAAUGUAAGAAAAAUGGACAUAUCAGACCCAACUGUCCUCUUCUGAAAAAGAAGAAAGGAAAAACUGAAAAAUAUCGAAAUGCUCUUAAAGCAGAAACCUGGAGUGAUGCAGAGUGUGAAUAAAGUGAUGAUGGUUAUGCCAAUAUAUGUCUGAUGGCACAAUCGGAUUUAGAUUCAAACUCCGAGACAGACUCAGAUUCAAAUAGUGAAUUUGAAGUAAGUAACUUUAAAAUCCCUGUUAAAGUUUCUAAAUACAUUAAUGAGCUGUGUUUUAGUCUUAAGACUUCUUUUAAAAGGAUUUCCGAACUUAAAAAUGAAAACUCUUUACUAAAACGACAGGAAAAUAUUUUGAAAGAAAAAUUGAAAUGUUUAGACAUGAAUGUUUCUACUCUUAAAGAAAGCGAAGAUAAUCUCUUGAAAGAAAAUGCAUUUUUAAAAAAUGACUCAUCAAAUAUUUCAAAAAGAUUUUCAAUAGGAUAUGAGAAACUUGAAAAAAUUCUUUCAGCACAAAGACCUUAUUUCAAGAAAUCUGGUUUAGGAAUGACAGUAGAAACCAUUCAUUUAAUUGAUUUUCCUAAAGUAAAUAAAAGAAUUAAGAAAAGACCUCCAAAGAAAUUUUACAAAAAUCAUUUUCAAAAAGUGUUUGUAAAACCAGUAGGUUGAAAUGCUCUCAGAUGUUCAAAGUGCAAUAGUGCAGAUCAUUUUGAAAAAGAGUGUCCUAUAGUUUGGAAACCUGUUAAGAAAGUUUGGGCAAAAACCGCAUAUCAUACUAACACCAAUGGACCCAAGAAAAUAUGGGUACCAAAUAAAGCUUAAGUCUUUUUAAAUGCAGGUCACUAUCAAGAAAAAAAGUAAAUUGCUUCAUAAAGCUCGUUCAAGUAAAUAGUGGAAAAGUCUCAUUUGGAGGAAACAACAAAGGAUGAAUUGUGGGAUUAAACCUCACAAUAAACACAAUAAACAAUGUUUCCCUAGUGGAAGGAUUCAACUACAAUCUGCUCAGUAUCAGUCAGCUGUGUGAUACUGGUUUCAAAAUCAACUUUCAAGAGGGAAUAUAUUCAGGAACCAGUAAAGACUCUACUCAGUCAUUCAUGGGCCGAAGACAUGGAAAUAUCUACCUCUUGGAUGUGAAACCAGAUGAAUCGCAAUGCCUAAUCUCAAUUCAAGAUGAAGCGAGCUUAUGGCACAGAAAGCUUGGGCACAUCAAUAUGAAGCAGAUAGCCAAAAUUUCAGCAAAGAAACUUGUUCGUGGUCUACCCAAAUUAUCAUAUCAAAAGUCUGAUCUAUGUAUACCAUGCGUAUUGGGAAAGCAUGUAAGAAAUUCCUUUAAACCAAUAAAUCAAGUUUCCACUAAUUGUGUACUGCAGCUUCUGCAUAUGGAUCUCUUUGGACCAACUAGAUCUUAGAGCAUUGGAGGUAAGAAAUAUUGCCUAGUAAUUAUGGAUGAUUACUCACAAUGUACUUGGGUAUAUUUCCUGACAAGUAAGUUUGAAACAUUCUCUUACUUUGAAAAGUUUGCUAAAAAUGUUCAAAAUGAAAAAUGGUAUGUUAUCUCGAGUAUAAGAACAGACCAUGGAGGUGAAUUUGAAAAUCAAGAUUUUACAAAAUUCUGUGAUGAAUCUGGUUUUCAGCAUGUGUUCUCAUCUUCAUAUACUCCAAAGCAAAAUGGAGUUGUGGAAAGAAAGAAUAGAUCGCUUCAAGAAAUGGCUAGAACUCUUUUAAUUGAAAGUAACAUCUCUUUACGAUUUUGGGCUGAAGUAGUUUCAACAGCAUGUUACAUUAUCAAUAGAGUUUUUCUAAGGCUUAUUCUAGAAAAAAACCCCUAUGAGUUAUUCAAAGGAAAGAAGCAUAUUGUUUCAUAUUUUCAUGUGUUCAGAUGCAAAUGCUUUAUAUUGAAAAAUGCAAAUGAUAGAGUUGGCAAGUUUGAAGAAAAAUCAGACGAAGACAUCUUCCUUGGAUAUUCUACCUCAAGCAAAGCUUACAGAGCCUAUAACAAAAAGAGUCAAUCUGUGGAGGAAUCAAUGAAUGUCAAAUUCCAGGAUUCUAUGCAAAAUGAAUCUGCUCAGACUCAUCUUGAAGAAUUUGAACCUGCUCCAGACUCUACAAAGUCUAAAUCUCAAGAAGCAACUCAGACUUUGAAAGACCAGCAACAAAUGGUUAUUGAAGAUUUAAAUAAAGGAAGUGAUCAUCAACCUGACAAAUCAACCAGUAAUUGGAAGCAUAAGUCCAGUCAUCCCAAAGACCUCAUUAUUGGCGACAUUAAUGAAGGAAUUCGCACAAGAUCUAAAAGGCGCGAAGAGUCUAGUGCUGUGGCUCUUAUUUCUGAAAUAGAACCAAAAAGCAUAGAAGAAGCUUUAUCUGAUGAAAGCUGGAUUGAAGCUAUGCAAGAAGAACUCAGACAAUUCAGUAUCAAUGAUGUCUGGGAAUUGACUCAUAAACCAAAAGGUAAAUCUAUUAUCGGAGCUAAAUGGGUUUUCAGGAACAAGAUGAACGAAAAAGGUAAAGUCGUAAGAAACAAAGCAAGACUCGUGGCCAAUGGAUAUACGCAAGAAGAAGGAAUAGACUAUGACGAGACUUACGUACCAGUAGCAAGGUUAGAAGUAAUUCGAUUAUUACUUGCUUUUGCUUGUUAUAAGAAUUUCAGGUUAUUCCAAAUGGACGUCAAAAGUGCUUUCCUAAAUGGAUUUAUCCAUGAGGAAGUCUAUGUGGAACAACCACCUGGGUUUGAAGACCCAAGGAAGCCAGACUCAGUAUUCAAACUGAAAAAAAAACCUUGUAUGGAUUAAAACAAGUACCUCGAGCUUGGUACAAAAGGCUGAGUAAAUUUUUAAUUCAAAAUGGCUUUGAAAAAGGUAAAGUAGACACUACUCUGUUUAUCAAAAGAGAAAGCAAAAGUUUCUUGCUUGUUCAAAUAUAUGUUGAUGAUAUCAUUUUUGGAUCAUCUAAUGAAAGUUUGUGCAAAAAAUUCUCUAAGUCUAUGCAGGAUGAAUUUGAAAUGAGCAUGAUGGGUGAACUAACCUUCUUUGUUGGACUUCAAGUGAAAUAAUUGAAUGAAGGGACUUUUAUUCAUCAAGAAAAAUAAGCUAAUGAUCUUGUAAAAAAGUUUGGACUGGAAAAUUGCAAAAAGACUGAUAUAUCAAUGUCAAGUUCCUUAAAGAUAGACAAAGAUGAAGGAGGAAAGAAAGUUGACCAUAAGCUAUACAGGAGUAUCAUCGGUUCACUUCUUUAUCUUACUGCUUCUAGACCUAACAUUUUGUUUAGUGUUUGCAUUUGUGCCAGAUUUCAAACAGACCCUAAAGAAUCUCAUCUAAGUAUCGCAAAUCGUAUUAUCAAAUACAUUGCUUCAACUUCAAGCAUCGGCCUUUGGUAUCCUAAAAAGGGAGACUUUACUCUUCUUGGAUACUCAGACGCAGAUCUAGCCGGUUGCAGAGUUGAUAGAAAGAGCACCUCGGGUACCUGUCAGUUACUUGGAAGCAGGACAGUGUCUUGGUUUUCAAGGAAGCAAAAUACAGUAGCUCUUUCUAUAGCAGAAGUAGAGUAUGUAGCUUUCGAAAGUUGUUGUUCACAAAUUCUCUGGAUAAAACAACAGCUAAGAGAUUUUGGAAUUGAAGAUUCAUGCACGGAGAUUAACUGUGACAACACCAGUGCAAUCAAUCUUACCAAAAAUCCAAUUCUUCACUCAAGAGCAAAGCAUAUAGAAAUUCGACAUCACUUCAUUAGAGAUCAUGUUCAAAAUGGAGAAGUUUUGAUUCAGUUUGUUGACUCAAAGAACCAACUGGCGGAUAUAUUUACAAAGCCUUUGGAGAAAAAUCAAUUUGAAAUCAUCUAUUCCAGACUCAACAUCUUGAAGCUUGAAGAAGUUAAAGUCUAGAGACUCUCAGUCUCAGACAAUCAUGGUUCUUGACUGUAAGUUAUUUUAUUUUCUCUUAUAUUAAAUCUCGUAAAGGUACGAUCAUUUAUCCAUUCAUAAUUGAUUUAUGCUAUCUUCAAUUUCCAUGAAAAGUGCAAUUUUUUCCUUUUUAAAAAGAGUUAAUGGUAGUUAUCUAUUUUUGAAAAAGGCAGUUUUUUUUUAAAGGCAUCUUUUAACCUUCCUUUACGACGUUUAGCAUUUCCCCGUUUCGACUGAGCUAUAUACAGUCCGUUCCUCUUCACUUUACUCCAAAACCCUAAAAAGCAUCGAUCCUCCAUUCUUGUCUUCCUCCCUUGUUUAAUCUUUGAAAAAGUUGUCAUCUUUCUUGGGAAAGUCAAGCAAGGAAUCUUUCGAAGACUGAGAAAGAUGUCGUCUUCAAGAAAGUCUUCGAGAAUCGCAAGCAGGGGACCACGACGAAUGAGUGAGGGGCCUACUCAUUUUGAUCUCACCGAGGAAGAGGAGUCACCAAGUCAGCAGCAGAGCCCACAACAUUCUCAACAGCGUCAUUCUCCACCAUCUAGUCCACAGGAUGCUAGUCAUCAACAAGAGGAAGAAAUCAUUGAAGACGCAGAUCCUGUAAGAGUUCAAAAGCCCUCUUUUAUUUAUAAGCUUUACCGUGCUUUAAAGAGCAUUGGUACUCCAUUGAACUACAUCGAUGAGUUUCUUAAGGACAAGGGAUAUGAGAAUGAGUACAUUUUUUUGCGAAAAAUGGAGAGUUUGGAAAUUGCUCCUAAUGGGUUGGUAGAAAAAACCCUUGCAAAUAUCCCAAGUGAUCCGCGUGUUGGGGGAUUUAAUCCGAUAGAUGGGAAUGAUGAUGAUAGAUUGUGCAAAGAAUUUCAACCGAGAAUGGGUGUUGCGGCGAAAAUUCGAGGAAAAAGAACAGAGUUGUUUAGAUCGAAGGAACAUAAGGAUCUAUACUCCAAAUUGUUGAAGCGUGGGGUGAUAAACCCUAGGAGUGUGGAUUUUGAUUUCUUUGAUGCUGUGAAUGUCAAUUUGAGGGAAAAGUUCAGUUUUCUUCAACUUGAACAAUUCUGUUCUGACACCACAGAAGCUUAUGCUCAAUUAACUGCAUAUUUCUAUUCAAAUCUUAGUUUCUUGUAUGCGAAUAGAAUCUCUUUCAGUGUCCGAAAUCAGGACUUUGUAGUGGAUGUGGAUAUGUUGGCGGAUGUGAUUGGGGUUGAGAGAGGGAGAUAUCAACCCAUCAGUGUUUCUAUAGCUCGUGCCACAUUGGAACUUGUUAAAAAUAGAAGGACAGAGGGAAGGAUUUCCUACUCAAGGAUGAGUGCGUUCAACAUUCUGCUUCACAAGAUUGUGAUUAAUUGUCUCAGAUCGAAAUCAACUUCCAAGACUGAUGUUUCUAACUCAGAGGCAAAGCUUAUGUACGCCAUCAAUGCUGGGAAAAAGUAUUCUCUUCCUCACACUAUUCUGUUCCACAUGUAUAGAGCAGUGGUGAAGGACAAGGGCCAACUUCCUUAUCCAGGUCUUGUGUCAAAGAUAUUCAGACAUUUGAAUAUUCAGCCUCCACAAAUUCUCUGUGUUCGACCAUGUGACAAAAUGGUGGUAGGACUGAAAAUGGUGUCCAAAAUGCGUCUAAAAGAACUCGACAAGGCAUUGGAGAAAUUUAAGGAGAAAACCCCUAUCAAAUUUCAUCAAGUCUCUUCUGCAGCGAAAAGAAAAAGGGAAGGAAAGUCGAGGCAUUUCAAAUUGUUUGUUGACACGGACAAAGUCAGCGAAAACCUCUGAAAUUAUUUCAAUAUUGGAAGCCCAUGGUUGCUCCAUCCAAAAAGAGAAAAGCUCUCAUUACUGAUGAAGAUGAUGAGGAUGACUUCACAAUUUCUGCUAUAGCAUUGAAGAAGCUGAGUCAUUCUGUUCCAGAAUCAAUGGAACGACAGGAGAAAGAAGCAGAGGAGAGAGAAGAAUAGGAGAAAAAAGAAGAAACAGAAACAAAUGAGAAAGAAGCAGAGGAGAAGGAAGAAGAGGAGAGAGAAGCUAAGAAAGAGAAGCAGAGAAGGAAAGGUUUGAAGAAGAAGAAGACAGAGAAAAUCAACAGGAAUGAGAGCAUGAGGAACUCUCUUCUCCACCUGAAGCCAUGGAAACAGGGGGAGAUGGUGAGAAUAGAGGAAUGUCCUCAUAUCCUGUUAACAGUGAAGGAGUCAGCCGCUCUCCGGUAGAUCCAGAGGACAUUCAUGCCUCUCAAUUUCUUGAGGAGGGACAUAAUGCUUCAUCGCCAAAUCUGUGUGAUUAUGCUGAUAUACCAUCAUUUUCCUUUACUCCAUCAAAUCGUGCCGAAGCUAGUACGCAGAUUGAUAACUCAGUAGAUUUUCACAAAAUCGUUGCUGUUCUCUUGGAAAUGCGGGGUCAAAUAUAUGCUUCGGAAAGCGAAGUUUAGAACUUGAAGAAUGCAGGACAAGCUUCUUCCGUUUCAUUAUCUGAUCAGAUCCAAGCCCUUGCUCUUCAGAUUCAAGCCAAUGCUAAAGGUGAAGAGGUGGAUCAACUGAAGGAAGAAUUGAAAAAGCUGUAAUGCAUCAUCCAGUUCAUGAGAGAUUUUCAGCUUGUUCGCAUUCCCAAGCAAACUUGACUCUAUUUUAUUUCCGUCUCAACCUUUUUUAUGAUGACAAAAAGGGGGAGAGAUUUGAGAUUUGAAAUCUUUGAACUUAAACUUGUUGAAUUUUUAGUUUGUUUUGAUAUGUGUCUGUGUUUGGUUGAGGAUUGACUGAAUGUGGAUUUGGAUUUGACUGCUACUUAUAUUAAGUACUAUUGAUAUCUUAUGAAUGGCUUUACUCUUAUGCAAGACUAACCUAUUUUCUCUGGUUGCAUAUUCUAGUAUUAUCAUUAAGCCAUUAAUUUUUAUGAGAUAUCCAUAUUUGCUUGAGUAAUGUUUUGCAGGUCAAGGUUAUUCAAAUCUGUAGGAAAGUUUUGUCACCAUAAAAAAAGGGGGAGAUUGUUGGAGAAAUCAUUCUGUAAUAUUUUGAAGCUGACAAAACGUUUCUAUCAGUCUAGUCUGAAGUUUAGCAAACUCUACUAUUAAAGUCUGAAGACCUCCGGACUAUCAGACUCAAGACUCAAAGUCUAUUCCCUUUGACAAUUUCUAAUCCGUUGAAGAAAAGCUAUCCAGAAUUGCUUCAUUAAGGAUUUGACCUUAUCAACUAGAGAAGAUCUCUUGGCUGGAUAUGACAUAACGGAUUCCUUUAUUCAAAUCAAGAAUGAUUAAAGAUCCGAUGAUUUGCGAAGUAUUCUUGGAAGGUUCUACUUAUGGAAACCAAGAUCUUGAUUGUAUGGGCGAGCAGAAUUGAUGGGCUAUCAACAUGUUCCUUUAAUAGCUCGAAUAAUCUUCCUAAUUGAUUCUGUCCAACGGGAGGAUUGGAAAAAUUCCUUUGGUAAGUGUCAACGGGUAUGAUGGCACAAAGGAGUAUAAAAGGAAGACGUUCUAGUUGUUCGAGGUGGUGCACGAUAGAAGAAUUCCAAAGUCUGAAACUCUUUGAUUCUUAGUCAAUUCACUUACUGAGCGAAAUCUUGUACGCAAAAGAGAGUCUAUAUUUUGAGAUACCUUGAGGAAGUAUGGUAGAAUAUCUACACUGUGGAAUCAAGGGAAAGCGUUGCUGUAACAUCUCUUUUGUUCAUAGUGAAAUCCAGCCGGUGGACUGUUAGUGCAGAAGAGUGGACGUAGGCUUGGAAUAAGCUGAACCACUAUAAACCUUGUGUUCAAUUUUCUCUUCCCUACUCUCUGCUUUACUUUGUUCAUAGUUCGUUUUGUUAACUAAAGGAGAGCUUCAUUUCUAUUGUUUGCCUAGUAUUGCUUUCAUAUCUCGAGAAAUUAUUUAAACACAUAUUCACCCCCCUCUAGGUGCUAUUACUAGCUAUAUCAAAAUGAACAUAGCCACUUUAUGUCCUUAUUUGAGAAAGUGAUAGCAUUUCAAGUCUUUUUUAAAUGAAACCCAUUUUGGAUAUUUAUUUGAGAAAAUGAGGGCAUUUUAGGUCUUUUUUUUUGCAAUUUUCUCUCUUUUCUUUUAAAUUGCACUCUAAAAAGAGAGAACCUUUGUGAGCCAGAUGAAAUAAUAACUUGAUUUUUUCUAAUGCGAAAAAGUAAUAUGUUUGAAAUUUUCAUGCUAAAUUUUUUGGAUUUUUGUGGUGUUAUCUAUUACGUGUACUUGAAUAAUUUAGGAAUUCCUUGAUGCCCCUGUAGGCAUUCACAAUUCAUAAGGUAACUUGUGGCAAUUCGAUCCACAUUGUGUUCGCUUUGUUUUCAUGACGAGAACCAAUUUGAUCAUUGUUACAUGCAUUGUUUUGUGUGUUUUUAGGGGAAGUAAUGUUGAUGGAAUUAUAAAAUUAUAUUUAAUGGUUGAUUGUGCUUUAGCCUGACUAUUAAAAAUAGUUUUGCAAGUUCAUCGCUUUUCUAUGUGGAUGUGGGUAGACGAAAUGUACGUGCAAACUGUUUGAUUAUGGAUCAUGUUUGAUCACAAUGACUAUGCUUAUUAUGAAAGUUUGUUGCUUGUUCAUAUGGAUUGUGCUGAUAGAAUCAUAAUUCAUUAAAAAUGGUGGAUUUCUGACUGUUAUGCUGAUUGUGAAAGCUCACUACUUGUAUAGUAUGCUAGAUUAGUAACCAGUCAAAUACCAAUUAAAAGAAAAAGAAAAACUAGAACAAAUUUUAGUGAACUAUUGAAGCAAUAAGUAGUUUUGAUUAGACAAUUACCGAGGGCUUUUGGUAGACUUCUUUUGUUUCCGACUUCACUUGCGACAAGUCAUCGCAUUAGUAUGAGUUCAUUGACCAUGUGAGGGCAAUCCACCUCAAUGAUGAAUUCAACUCGCUAAUUUAUCUAGUUAUCUCAUUGGUGGAAUUUGAAUCACAUUCUUCUUAGUAAGGCCACAAGGUCUAGAUCAACCUUGUGCUGAUCGGGGUUUUAUAUGCCCAGGCGUUGAUACCUAUCGAUGUCCUAAACCAAUUAAAACCAUCAGGAAUGAAAUAAAAUGUGAAUAAUAGAGUCCGAGUUCAACCUCAUGGUCAGUGGAAGAAAAAGAAGGCUAGGGAGGAAGAAUUUACAUUCCAUUCUCACAUCCUCUUCCUCUAUGGUGACCAGGGGGUCUUAUAGAUCCAACUAAGACAAUGGAAUCUUCUUUUGUGAUCAUACUUUUAUCUUGGUUAGUAGUCCAAUCCUUGGCUCAACUCAAUGGCACUUUUACGCAGGGUUGGUGCCACUAGAUUGGCAUGGAUGAAUAUCAUUUCAUUGUUUACGUGGAUGUAUACGAAUGAAAUUAUAAUUUAUUAAAAACGGUGGUUCGUGCUUUGUCCUUACUAUUAUUCUUGUUUCUCAAAUUUGUCACUUGUACAAGUGAAAUUAGUUAAUAAAGGUUGCCCUACUUCAUUCCGACCAACAUGUUUUGGAAGUUCGUCGUGUGUUUACAUGGAUUUACAUCAUUUGAUCAUAUCCCAUUUGGUCAUCUGGACAUUAUUUGGUUGUAUCUAGAGUAUUUGCAUUUUAGAAUAAUUACAAAUAUGUAUCUAGAGUAUUUGCUGAUAUUUUAAUUUGACAUUAAGUCAUUUUGACUUUACAAAGGAGGUAUUACAUAAGGAAAGAAGAAUUGGCCAUAUCUAAAGUAGGUAUAGACCAAACCCCCAAGAGAUGGAAUGCAACUAGAAUUUCCACACUUGCAAUUGUGAGAGUGUGGCUGAUGUCCAUUGCGCUACGGCCCCUCCUCCUCCUAUCAAGAUGCAACUAAGUUUAAAUACUUAGUAAACAAGCAACUUCCUUGCCGUAGUCUAAACCCAAUGUUGCUAUUAAGAUUCCCCCUCCACCAAUAGAUGGCAAUGAUUCAUCUAAUUGAAAGUUUUUCUUCAUGAUAGAAUGAGAAAUAAUGUGUACGCCUGAGUUGGAGGGCAGACUUGUGCCCCCUAUGCAGGUUCGACAGGAUUCUCUGGUAUUCACUUGCCACAUAAGCUCACUCCAUCAUAUAGCACAUUAACCAAAUUUGCGAUUGAUAAUAGAGCACCUACACCCCCGUCAUAUUCUCCUCUCCUAGGUAUGUUUGUGCUUAUAGUUUAGCAUUAGAAGUUGGGCCAUGAAGAAGCAACUGCAGUUAGAGAGAAGCGCUCAAAUAUGAUUCACAUGUCUAAGAAACCUCCUGAUGAUUCAGUGGGCACGUCUUCUCAUGUCAAUUCUCUAGAAAUUGCAUGGAUUACCAAAAGGCGGGUUGGUGAAGGUGGUAUAAAUAAGAGGGUCAGAAGCCUUGCAGCAUCUGUAGAUAGAAGAGGUGUUGGUAGAGGAAAUUUGUCUAGAUCUCAAAAAGUCCAAUCGGAGAAUAAGAGAAGGGUUAAUUUUGAUGUGAUUAAUCAAUUCAACAAUUUGAGGGAUCUAUCUCAGAUAGAAAGAAGGAAGAUGCUAAUAUAUAAGGUAAAGAAGAAACUUUUAAGAAGCUUAAUGAGUGGAGUAGUGAGAAAGAACCUGCAAAUAUACUAAGUUGUUCGUGUUGAGAAAACUUCUAUUAGAUUUUGAAGUUGACAAAACUUUUCUAUAUUUAUCUUUUUUAUUUUGAGGAAUACAAGACUUCUGUGGAAUUCUUUCAAAGUCUAUUUUACAUUAAAAGUCUGCCCCACUCUGACGAAGACUCAGACUAAACUCAAGUGAAGAACGAAGACAUAAUCAGACUUAGGAUUAUUAUUCUUCCUUCAAUGAUUCGAUACAAAAAAGAUUUAUCUGGAUUUCUAGUUGAAAAUUUCACUUACCUUUUUUGAAUAUUAUUGAUGAAAUCAAUCUCGGAACGGUAAAAUCAAUUUGGAAGGCAAGUUUAUUUGGAAAGAAUCUACUUAUAGAAAUCAAGAUCCUGAUUGUAUGGGCGACCAAGAUCAUCGGAAUUUCAUCUCAAUCUUCAAAUGGCUCAAGAUCUCUUUGAUUGAUUCUGUCCAACGGGUUGAUUAGAAGAAUUCUUUUGGAAAGUGCCAACGGUCACAAAGGUAUGGAAGAGUAUUUAAGGAGGUUUUUUGAGUCAUUCGAUAGAAAGCAUGAAAACUAGAAUUCCAAAGUCUGAAGCUUCUCAAAUCACUUGUUCUUCCUCAAUAGUGCUCAAACGUGUAUUCAAAAGAAAGAAAAACACUAAGGAGUGACUUAGUGAGAGGAGUAGAAACUUUUCACUGAGUAGUCAGUGUAUAAGGCUAUAAUUCUCUUUCAAUUCAUAGUGAAAUCCAACCAAAAGGCUGUCAGCGUGGAAAGUGGAUGUAGGCUUAAUCUAAGCCGAACCACUAUAAAUCUUGUAUUCAUUUUCUUUUCCCUAAACUCUUUUAAUUUAUUUGAUGUGAUACUUUUCUGAGUUUCGCUAUAGUUGUUUUAACAUUAUCUUACUUGAGUCUGAAUCUUUAUUCAAAGUCUAUUGUUUGACAGACUCAGUUUAAAAGAAAAUCAUUUUCACUGCAUCUCUUCAAAAUCUGUUUUUACACCUAUUCACCCCACUCUAGGUGUUUAUACUAACUAUUUCAAUCGGUAUCAGAGUUUUGUGUGCUUACUUUAUUGAAGUGUUUUUACUUUUAAGCUAAAGAUCUUCUAUGGCUAGUAUUUUGGCUUCAGGAUUGGUUGAAGGACAGAGCAAUAUCAUACCUCUUUAUUUCAAUGAAAAUGAGUAUAAUGUGUGGAAGAACGAAAUGAAAGCAUUCCUCAGAUCCAGCGAUCCUUUGGAGUGGGAUGUUGUCGAAAGAGAAAUCAAUUCAAAGGCAACAUCAGCUUCAGAGAAAGGGAAAGAAAUGAUGGACAAAGAUGCUGAUGAAUCCACAUGAACUGAAAUUACCAAGAGACAAGCUCUUGAUGCAAAAUUAAUUUAUUCAUUAUAUUGUGCCUUAUCUCCAACUGAAUACAACCGAAUAUCCUCCUAUGAACGCAAAAGAAGUUUGGGAUAAAUUGCAUGUCGCUUAUGAGGGGACUGAUUGUGUGAAGGAGACAAAGAUAAAUAUUCUACUUAGACAAUAUGAAUCCUUCAUAAUGAAGCCUGAAGAAUCUAUUUGUGAUAUGUUCAAUCGCUUUAUAGAAAUUGUGAAUAGCAUAGCUUAUCAAGGUCAACCAAUUUCUAGACCAAUGAAAGUUACCAAACUACUGCAUGGACUUUCAAAUGACUAGAAUCAUGUGAAGACUUCAAUCAGAGAAACUCAAAGGAUCAUGCCCCUGUCAGUUGACGAAUUAAUAGGCACGCUUCAAUCGUACGAAGUGGAGUAGAUCAAUGAUGAGGAAGAUCCAAAAGGUAAGAAAUCAAUGCGAGGGAUGAUCAAAAAUCGAGAGCUAUGAUUCAAAAUUAUUUUGAUUCAUCCCCCCAUGAGGAAGUGCCAAAAAAUUUGACUCAUUAAAGUCUAAUAUUGAUUAUGAAGAUGCAAAUUCGGAUGAUGAUAUGGAAGAUGAGGAGCUGGCCCUUAUGAUAAAGAAAUUCAAAAAACCGAAUAGAAAUGGAAGAAGGUUAAAUUGGAAGAAGCAAAGCAUGCAUAAUUCCCAGAAGAAACCAACGAAAGACAAUGAAACAAGCAAGAACGUAAUAUGCUUUGAGUGCAAGAAAAAUGGGCAUAUCAGACCGAAUUGUCCCUUGUUGAAAAAGAAGAAAUGGAAGUCUGAAAAGUACAAGAAAGCUCUUAAAGCAGAAACCUAGAAUGACACCGAAUGUGAAGAAAGUGAAGAGGAAUUUGCAAACAUAUAUCUGAUAGCUCACUUAGAGUCAGACUCGAAAUUAGAAAUAGACACUUAUUCAGAUUUUGACAAAGAUUUCGAGGUUAAUCACUCAGAAAUUCCUGUUAAAGUCUCUAUGUAUAUAGAUGAACUUUGCCUCAAUCUUACAUCCUCUCUUAAAAAGAUUUCCGAACAGAAAAAGGAAAAUUCUAAGUUGAGGCAAUAGGAAGUUUCUUGGAAAAAAAAAGUUUGAAAGUCUGAAAAGAAGUUUUGAUGAUUUGAAAGAAAAUUCUGAUUCUCUUUCAAAAGAAAAUGUUGACUUAAAAAGAGAGAUUUCAGAUAUUUCAAAAAUAUUUUCCAAAGGAUCAAAAAAAUUGGAGAAAAUUCUUACAACUCAAAUACCCUAUUUUAACAAAUCAGGUUUGGGUAUGAAUAAUAAAACUAUUCCUCUAAUUGAUUUUCCUAAAUUAAAAGAGAGACUUAGGCUCCAUUCGUUUCGCAAAAAUUGUGGCGUUUCUAGAAAAUAUUUUCUAGAAAGUCAUUUUUCAGGAAAAUGUAAUUAUUUUCCAAUGUUCGAAUAAAACCUGAAAAUAAAGUGAAAAAUAUUUUUUGCUGUUGGUAAGGAAAAUCUUUACCUCCACAUACUCUUUUUCAUUUAUUUUAUUUUUUAAAAUGGAUUUUCCAUAUUUUUUAAAAAUUGAUUUUAAUUAUUUUUAAUUUUUAAAAUCUAUUAUUAAUUUUUUUUUCAUUUUAAUUUUUCUUUUCUUUUUUCUUUUUUUUCCAUCUCCUUCUUUCUUGGUCAUUCGCCGGCCACGGCGAUGGCUCGCGACCAGCCAUUGGCAAGCGUCAAGCAAGGCUCAUCGCUCACCAGAUCGACGAGCGUGAGCAUCGAGCUAAAGGCUCGCUAGACUAAUGAGCGCGAGCUUAAGAUUGACGAGCUCGAAGUUCACCUGGCGACGGCCAACAACUAGCCAAGAAAGAAGAAGAUGGGAAACAAAGAAAAUAAAUAGAAAAGAAAUAAAAAAAGGAAAAGGAAAUUAAAAAUAAUUCGAAUUUAAAAAAAUAAAAUUAAAAAUAAUUUGAAUAAAAAAUAAAUAAAAAAAUAAGAAGAAAGGGGAGGAGGAAGUGAGGAUUUGUAGAUGUGUGAGAAAAGAGAGAUCAAGUAAGAAAAAUAUUUUUCACUUUUCAAAAGUGGAAAGGAAAAUGUUUUCCACUUUUCAAAAGUGGAAAACAUUUUCUCCUAAUUUAGAAGAUUUUUCUUCCUUUCAUGGAAAGCAUUUUCCACAAGGAAUUCAUUUUCUGUGAAACAAACAUCGGAAAAUCUGGAAUACGUUUUUCCAAAAAUUAUUUUUCGCAAAACGAACGGAGCCUUAAACAAAAACUUGCAAAGGCAUUUUAUAAAAAUCAUUUUCAAAAAGUGUUUGUAAAACUUGUUAGUCGAAGUGCUCUCAAAUGUUUUAAGUGUAACACCUCAUAACAUUUUGAAAAUGAAUGUCCCAAAGUUUAGAAACAAGUUAAGAAGGAUUGGGCAAAGAUUGUUUUUAACACUAACUCUUCUAGACCCAAAAAAAUCUGGAUACCAAAGAAAACUUGAGUUAUUUCUUUGAUUCCAGGUCACUAUUAAAAGAAAAAUCAAAUAGUAUUUGGAUAGUGGCUAUUCUAGACAUAUGACAAAAGACUAAAAUUGCUUCGUGAAGCUUGAAAAACUAAAAUGAGGAAAUGUUUCUUUUGGUGAAAACAGUAAAAGGAAAAUUAUAAGAUAUGGAACAGUGAAGAUUGGAAGUCUAACUAUCAACAAUGUUUCCCUAAUGAAAAGAUUAAACUACAAUCUUCUAAGUAUAAGUUAGCUUUGUGAUACAGGUUUCAAAAUAAACUUUCAAGAAGGAAUUUGUUCUGAAGUAAGUCAAGAUUUCUCUCAAUCCUUUACUAGGCGAAGGUAUGGCAAUAUCUAUCUUCUGGAUGUAAAUCUAGAAAAUUCUCAAUGCCUCAUCUCAUUACAAGAUGAAGCAAGUCUCUGGCAUCAAAAGCUUGGUCAUGUAAAUAUGAAACAGAUUGCCAAAAUUUCUUCCAAGAGGUUGGUUCGAAAGCUUCCUAAUUUGGCUUAUUAGAAGUCUGAGUUGUGCACUCCUUGUAUCUUGGGAAAACAGGUCAUAAAUUCUUUUAAACCGGUAAAUCAGGUUUCUACCAGUCGUAUUUGCAACUUCUCCAUAUGAAUCUUUUUGGACCAACAAGAAUUCAGAGUAUUGGUGGAAAAAAAUAUUGUCUAGUAAUUGUGGAUGAUUAUUUAUGUUUUACUUGGGUAUUUUUUUUUGGCAAGUAAGUCUGAAAUUCUUUCCUAUUUUUCAAAGUUUGCCAAGAAAGUUCAAAACGAGAAAGGUUAUGCUAUUUCAAGCAUAAGAACAAAUCAUGGAGAUGAGUUUGAAAAUUAGGAUUUUGCAAACUUCUGUGAUAAAUCUGGUUUUCAACAUGUUUUUUCUUUUCCAUAUACUCUAGAACAAAAUUAAAUUGUGGGAAAGGAAAAAUAGAUCUUUAUAAGAGAUGGCCAGAACUCUAUUGAAAGAGAGCAAAAUAUCUUCUUGAUUUUGGACAGAAGCAGUUUCUACUAUUAUACAAUCAUCAUGGUGUUUUUAGGGCCAUCUUAGAGAAGACUCCCUAUGAAGUAUAUAAAGGGAAGAAGCCUAAUAUCUCUUACUUCCAUGUUUUUAGCUGUAAGUGCUUUAUCUUGAAGAAUGCAAAUGAUCGAUCUGGAAAGUUCCAAGAAAAAUCGGGUGAAUGAAUUUUUCUUGGAUAUUCAAUGUCAAGCAAAGCUUAUAGGGUUUUUAACAAGAAGACUCGGUCUAUAGAAGAAUUGUUGACACCUAAAUUUUUGGUGGCUCGGUUAUUUAUUUUUUACAUAAAAAUUAGGAUUAAUUUUACCCCUAAAAAAAUAGAAUUAAAAUUGCAUAGCAUAUAAUUUUAGUUACACUUAUUUAUUUUUGCAUUUGAUCAACAUUGAAUGAGCUUCAAUUUCACGAGUUCACAAUUUAGUAUUUUCGGAAAGGAUUCAUAUUAUUCUUCUAAUAUUCGGUAAAUAUUUCAUAUAUUCAUGUGAUUUAUAUAUUAUGCGAUAUAUUUUAAUGAAGAUUGGAAGUUUAAGCAUGAAAUAUCAAGAAGGAAUAUGGCACGUGGGGCAUGUAUGGAGUAAUAUAUUAUUUAACUCAAAAUAAGAAAGAUUAAAUGAUCAAAGGGGAUUCUGUGCGUGAGCUAAAAAAGAAAGAAAAAAUUGCUAAGCUUGAGUACCUUCCUAUAAAAGGGACUCACCACACGACGAAACAAAAGGAGGCCACACGUAUUGAAUACACGGCCAUUGAGAGAAAAACGUGAGUGAGGGCGAGACUUAGAUUGAAAGAGAGACUUCUUUACGUUUUUGGGUCAAUAGGUCAACAAAGGGAUGGGGUUUCCUCUGACAAGGUGCAUACAGAGAGCACGUGAAAGAAGGAAAAACUAAAAAAAAAGGUGGGGUUGUCUUCUUCCAGUGGGGGUCUUCAAGCAUGAAGUUCGGCGCAUGCAAUUUCGACGCCCGCAGCUGCCGAUCCAUCGUUGACCGCCACUGUCGCUGCCUUGCCUCGAGAUCAGGAGCGGAGCACCACCCUCGCCAUUGACCCUUGGGCCGUGACCAUCGAUAUCGUUGUGAGUCCCUGCGAGUCCACCGACCCGACGGUCCCUCCACUACUUCGUCCUCUAUCUCUGCAGUCUCGUCCGCGAGCAUCAUCGUGGAAGCCAUUGAGCUGGGUCCUCACGGCCCAAUUACAGCAAGAAUUCCACCAGUGACCACAAGGCAGCUUAGCCGAGACGUUCAUUGGGCAGCAUUGACGUCUUUAGUCCACCAAUACCAAGGAGGACAAGUUCAUGGCAGCUUAUCCGUACUCACGGCUAGAGAUGAGUUUAAUUUUGUAGGCUUUCCAAGCGAGCUCGUUGACCACCGAAGCAAGGAUCCGCUGGUGAUCUCUCUCCCAUCACUGAAAGUCGUCCUCGAGCACCAUUGUGAACACCCAUCCUCACCACGCCAUCAACCGAGGCUAAGCACCACCAUGCACCGCCGGUCACCCUUUGAGCGGAUUCCACUCGGUCCAAAUUUAGUAAUAUCAUUUGUAGAAUUAGGUAAUUAUCAUAUCUAAAUUUGAUUUAGAUAUUUUAUUGCCUAAAACAUGCUUUUCAAUAUCUUAUGUGUAUAUUUGAAUUAUCUGUGUAUUCCCAAUUAUGAUUUAUUGUCCAAUCCGCAACCACACGCCAAAUUUUUAUUUCAUUUAUAAGGCUUUAGAUGGAAUAAUUAAUCACGCGAGAAUAAAGUUGAUAUCUUGAUCUUUAAGACUUAAAAUCAAUUUAUCGAUUUUAUUAGCAAAAUAAUCAAGUUUGAUUAGAUAUCAUUUCCAAAUUCGAACGAUGGAUAAUAUCUUUAAUAAUUGUGAAUGAUUUGGUGUUUAUCUUUUAAUUGAUUUAUUUAUCCCAAAAAUGCAAAAAAAAAAAAAAGAUUGCAUUUGCAUAUCAUGUAGAUUGGAAUUGAUUUCCUAGAUAGAAUUGCAUGAUAAAAUAGUUAGAUUUUUCUUUAAAUGUAUGUUUAGAUGGUAUCUAGGUUAGAUAAUUUCUUUAAAUCAAAUUGCAUGUUGAGAUAAAUUUCUAAGCUAAGAUAGGAUUCGGAUUAGUCUAUUUCCUAACUUAAAAUGGAUAAUAUAUCACUUUAGUUAGAUUUUUAUUUUAGCAAUUUUUAAUUUAGUAUUUAAUAAAAAUACAAAAAAUUAUGCGCAUGUCAUAUAGAAUUAGGUUCAUGAAAUGCAUAUUUAGUGAUUGUUGUUGGGUCAAUUCAAUUAGAAAUUGGCCGUCAUUAGAAUUAGGUCAUUUGAUCAAAUUGCAUUGCACAUUAGCUUAGAUUUCAUUGAACAAGAUAAAAUCCUAAAAAAUUGAGUCACUACGUGUUAAUUAGAAAUGUUAUCUAGGGUUGUUGAUAUGAAUUUCAAGCUAACACUACAGAUGCUUUCGUUGCUACGAGGUAAGUCUUGCAAUUUAUUCACUGCUUUAUCUGGGUGUUGAAUUGGUGGUUUGUGUACUCACAUGAUCACCUCACAUGUUAGAGAAGCAAAUUAAAAUCAAUUCAAGUUGCCUGCAAAAUAUUUUUUCAAAAUAAAAAAGAAAUGUACCGAAAGGGCGUUAGAGAAAUCUAACGUAAUCAAGUCUCCAAACUCACAAUCUCUAGUUCGCAUGAGUAAAGUAAAUCUCUCGUUAUUUUACUUGGGUUUCUAAUCAAUCCACAAAAAAUAAAUUAGUGGCGACUCCUAAUUUAAAAAUCAUUUGCACAUUAAGAAGUUGAACCUAAGUUGCGAAUUGGUAUGUGCUUGAGAGAGCCCGAGCUAAGUUUAGACUUAGUAGUCUAUUAGCCUAAUUCUAAGUGGUAUAGCAGCAAGCAGAACUAGAAGAAUCAAAGGAAACAGAUGAUCAACAGAAUGUCAAAACAAAUGGCAAUUGGAAGCAUAAAUCAAGUCAUCACAAAGAACUCAUUAUUGGCAAAUUAGAUGAAGGAAUCCGCACCAGAUCCAAAGGAAAAGAAAAAUCCACCAAUAGCACUUAUUUCUGAAAUAGAACCAAAAGAAGUAGAAGAAGAAUCGUUUGACAAAAGCUAGAUAGGAAUUAUGCAGGAAGAACUCAGAUAGCAUUAAUGAUGUAUGAGAGCCGAUUCCUAAGCCAAAAGGCAAAUCUGUAAUUGGAAAAAAGUGGGUAUUUAGAAACAAGAUAGAUGAAAAAGGUAAAGUAAUCAGAAACAAAGCAAGGCUUGUGGCAAAAGGAUACACACAAGAAGAAGAGAUAGACUACAAUGAGACUUAUGCACCUGUAGCAAGGUUAGAAGCAAUUAGAUUAUUACUUGCUUUUGCCUGUUUUCAAAAUUUCAGAUUAUUCCAAAUGGAUGUCUAAAACGCUUUCCUCAAUGGACUCAUACAAGCAGAAAUCUAUGUGGAAUAAUUACCAGGAUUUGAAGAUCUAAGAAAACCAAACUCUGUCUACAGACUAAAGAAGGCAUUGUAUGGUCAAGCACCUUGAGCUUAGUAUGAAAGGUUGAGUAAGUUUUUAACAGAUAAUGGCUUUGAGAAAUGAAAAGUUGAUACAACUUUGUUUAUAAAAAGAGAAGAAAAAGAUUUUUUGCUCAUACAAAUUUAUGUUGAUGAUAUAGUCUUUGGAUCUCCUAAUGAAAAUCUUUGCAAGAAAUUUUCAAAAUCUAUGCAGGAAGAAUUUGAAAUGAACAUGAUGGGUGAAUUGACAUUCUUUCUGAGAUUGCAAGUUAGACAAUCAAAGGAAUGAAUAUUCAUUCAUCAGGAGAAAUAUGCGAAAGAUAUUAUCAAGAAGUUUGGAAUGGAGAAUUGCAAGAAAACAGAAACUCUCAUGGCAAGCUCAUCAAAACUCGACAAUGAUGAAGGAGGAAAGAAAGUAGAUCAAAAGCUAUACAGAAGCAUGAUUGGUUCUCUUCUUUAUCUCACUGUCUCUAGACCUGACAUUCUAUUUAGUGUGUGUAUCUGUGCUAGAUUUCAAUCAGAUCCAAAUGAAUCACAUCUAAGUGUUGUUAAACGCAUCAUCAAAUAUAUUGUGACUUUUCCAAAGUUAGGUCUGUGGUAUCCAAAAAAAUGAGACUUUACUUUACUUUGUUAUCCCGAUGCUGAUCUAGCCAGUUGUAGAGUCGACAAAAAGAGUACAUUUGGUACAUGUCAAUUGUUGGGACAAAUGCUGAUAUCAUGGUUCUCAAGAAAACAAAGUACAGUGGCACUAUCUACAAUAGAAGCAGAAUAUGUUGCUCUUGAAAGUUACUGCUCACAAAUUAUGUGCAUUAGACAACAACUAAGAGAUUUCGGCAUAGAAGAAUCCUGCACAAAAAUUAGAUGCAACAAUACAAGUGCUAUCAACCUUACCAGAAAUCCAAUUCUUCACUCAAGAGCAAAGCAUAUCAAGAUUCGUCACCAUUUUAUAAGAGAUCAUGUACAAAAUGGCGAGAUUAAUGUUCAAUUUAUCGAUUCAAAGAAUCAACUGGCAGAUAUCUUUACAAAACCAUUGGAAAAAAGCUUAUUUGAAUCAAUUCGUAGCAAGCUGAAUAUCAUCUCUCCUCUCGACUAAAGUUUACGGUUGAUCAGACUCAACAUUUCAAUUUAAGGAAGUUACUUCAGUAUGGAAAUCUCUACAAUCCAAGUAUUUUAUUUUUGGCAUGUAAAAAAUGAAUAGGUAUGAUUAUCUCUGAAUCAUUACUUGUCUCUUCUUUUUUUUUUUUAGAAAUUACAAUUUUAUUGCUGAUUUUUCGUAUUACAUUUCAAAUUUUUGACAGUUACCUUUUUAAAUUGUUUUCCAAAAAGGCAUUUUUCUUUGUGACAAUUCGUUUGCCCCAUUUCAAUUUCUUUAAAUCCUUUAGACUAUUUCCUUCGAGCAUAGUGUCUUCAAAACCCUAAUUCUUGAACUCUUUCUCUCUCGACUUUUCUCACAAAACUUCUCUGCAAACUUCUUUCUCUCUUCCAAUCGAACAUGUCGUCGAAGUCCUCCAAAUCUGCAUCAAUGUUGUUCCAGAGGAAAUCUUCUCGCAUCGCAAGUCGUGGACCUCGUAAUCUGCCUGAAGGACAAACUCAUUUUGAUCUGACUGGAGAAGAUUCUCCCAAGAGUUCUCCUCGUCACUCUGCAGAUGAGGAAGUUACACAAGAGGCGACUCAUAUUUCAGUGAGGUACUUUUCAAACAUUAUACAUUUUUAAAACAUGGUGGAAGUUCUAUGGACUUUAUCUCUAGCUUUCUGAAAGACCAUGGAUACGAAAACGAAACUCUGUGUUUUAGAAUGAUGGAAAGGUUAGGAUUGGCGCCAAAAGGAACAGCAGAGAAGGAAUUUUUGAAUUUUCCUUCUGAUCCUCACUUUGAAUCAAAAAAUCAACCUGAAAAUAAAGAUGAUGAUGAAAGAAUCUUUAUAAAUUUCCAACUAAGGAUGGGUGUGACGGCUGAGAUUACUGGAGAAAGAACGAAACUUUUUCGUUCAAAAGAGCAUAAAAUGGUUUAUGCUCAAAUGUUAAAUAGAGGAGUGAUAAACCUGCCCAUAAUAGAUUUUGAUUUUCUGGAUUCUAUAAAGGUUAACUUGAGGGAGAAGUUAGCAAAUCUUUAACUUGAAAAAAUUUGUGCAGAGACAUCUGAAGCAUAUCCUAAAUUAAUGGCAUAUUUUUUGUCACGCCCCAAUCCUCCGAGCAUGCGUCCAUCCCUACUUGGUCGAUUAAUAACGAUGUCUCAGGACGCGUCGCCGACCCAUUCUUUUUAAAGCGCAUGCGGAAACAGAUAAUAAUCCCCAAACAACAAUCAGAUGUGAUAGAAAAGUAGAGCCUCAAAUUUUUCAAACCAAAACAAACCCUCUUAUAAAUAAAUGGGUUCAUAUACAAGAUCAGGCUGUUUACAAAAAUGUUGGCUUAACAAAAAGGGGACUGACCUAACACCCACUAGUCAGACCUAUUUGCCGAUUCUUCAGCCUCUACCUUCCAAACCCCAGGCUUCCGGUCCUCCACGACCGCCAUCUAGGGACUUGAAAUUGUUAUUUCACAAUGGAAUAAGACAAUGUCUCAACAAGUUCUACUCUCUAAGACUCAAUUAGCAAGAAAAUACGCUCAAAGGGCUGCCUAAGCACAAUUACAAGUCAGAAGGCUUACCUUGGCCUCAGUUCCUUCCUGUAAGUCAGUUUAAUUCAUAAUUACUGACAAACCACAUCAUCCAGAUCAAUUCGGAUCAACUCAUCGAUCAAUCGACUCAGUCGAUUACAUGUCAUCGAGACCAUUCCCCGAUCAUAUCACUUACUCAACCCCAACACUGAAUUAUGGCUCAGUGAGCAUGGCCUACUAAAUUUUUGGCGAUAAUGCUGAAUUACGGCUCAGCGAGCACAACCGAUUCCAAAUUUAGUGGUAGAUUACGGUCUAGUAGACACAACCAUACUUUGGUGGAAAUGCUAAAUUACAGCUCAGCAGCACAACUGAUUCCAAGUUCGAUGGUAAUGCUGAAUUAUGGCUCAACUACACGAUCGAUUCCAAAUUCGGUGGUAAUAUUGGUCUAACUCACAACAACAUGCCCAACAACUCUCAAGUGCCCCACAAUCGCACAAAGCGACAUUCAAUCGAACAAUCAACAACCAAUUGCAUAAACCGCCCAAUUCACAAAUACCACAUGCAAUUUCACCACUCAACAUCUAAUGACCAAACCAACAUUUAGUUGCAUAAUUCAACUAAUUCACAACUACCGCGCAACUACACAAAUAAUCACUCAGCUUCACAAAACAACAUUCAAUUACAAAAACUAAACUCAUCACUGUGAUCAACUCGAAAUUCUAUCAAGCAGUUCUCCCGGUAUAAUUUUCAAAAAAUAUUAAUUAAUUAAUAAUUAAAUAAAUUCCAAAAAUUAUUUUAAUUUAAAUAAUUAAUUAAGUAAUUAAGAUAAUUAAUUAAAUUCUAAGCAUGAAUAAAUAAUUAAGUAAUUAAAAUAAUUAAUUAAAUUCUAAGCAUGAUUAACAUUAAUCUAAUUAGACUAAUUAAUUCAACCCUUAAUCUAAUCAUGCACAUAAUUUAAUUAACAUUUAACUAAGCUAAUCUAACCACCUAAACAUAGUUAGCUAAACUCACCAAAUUUGCGAGCUGGUGAGUCCACGGCGACCACGAUGCGGAGGUGAGCAACAAUCCUGCAAGCGGCAACACCAAUGGAGUCUGGGAAGGGCUCGGAGACGGGCCACGAAGCUUUAAGACCUUUGCUAGUUUCUGCCUCUAUUCUUGCUAGACUACAGAGAGAAAAACCAGUGGCUUCAACGGCAAAAACGGGUCGAUCGGAGCUUUGACAAGCGUGUGGUCGGCAACUGGUGGCUACUAGAGGUCUUAAGGGUCUUAUUGGAGGUUGGGAUGGGCAAAAGAAGGAAUUGAAUGGGAGAAAAAUGAAGAAAAAUGCAAAACAAUGUAGGUAGGCAACAGACUAACGGACCGACGAUCAAUUUCUUCUUGCUAGUGUACCGAACGGCCGACGACUCUGUUCUGGGUGAGGUCAGGCUCCUUGGAACGGUUUGGAUGUGCUGGUCACGGUGAUGGGUGGAUCGUUGGCUAAUUUGACUGGGAAGUCCACUUUCAACUCAAAUCUUUGGCGAAAAGUCAGCUAGAGUAAAAACUAGAAGAGAGGAAAACAAAGAGGAAAAUGGGGUCCGACGAUGGCUUUGCAUGCGUGCGAUGAAGCUACGGUUUCUCUAGUUUCUCUAAGGUCUCUCAAGCCUCAACAAUGGAGAAAGCAAGGGGAUAAAGGAGGAAGAAGCUUCAACUGAAGAGGGGGACCCCCAAAGGCCUUCCUAGGCUUCCAACACUUGCCCAUUGCACUUGAGAGUUGCCCCCACCACUUCAGCCCUAUCCUCAACCCUUUAUCUCUCCUCAAAGCUUCCUCAACACAUCAUUGAAGUAGUCCAAAUGUUCCCCCCUAUAGCAUACGAAUUUGUGACUUUUGUUCCUUAAAUUCCAUCAAAUCCUUUCAAUCCUCCCUCAAUUGAGUCCAAUUGAACUCCAUUUGAUUUCCAUGAAUCCAACUAAUGUGUCAUUAUCCCAACCCACAUUUUUCCUCACCAUAUAGUCCAACUUGAAUCCCAAAAGAGCGACCGAAAACGAGCAUACGAACUUCUUGAUCCAAACUACCCUUACUUUGGAUUUUUCGCCAAAAAUAUCAGUUUGUAGAAAAAUCUUCUGAAGAUGAGUCAACGUUCCUAAAAUGAAUUGUGACAUGACAUAACUUUCAAUUUCUGAAAUCGGGUUCAAAUUCACAGUUAAUUUUAAUCUGGUGCGAUUUAAGCGAUUCCUAACCUACCAGUUAGCUUUUAGGAACUUUUUGUGCAAUUGACCUAUGGUUAAUUAUUUUCAAGCCACAAAGUACAUUUUCGACACAUUGGCGACUCUCGGUUGUCGUGGAAAUCUCGAUGUUUCAAAUACGGACACAAGGUACCAAAGUGACAGAGAAAUCAAUCUAGUGCUGAUUGAUAAGAAUUUUGUAAUUAGGUGAAAUCACUCACACUUAAUCACAUAGUUCUGUCGAAUUGACCUAUCUCCGGUCUCUAAUCAGUCUGUGUCGUAAUGACCCUUGCAUAUUAGCACGGUCGAACAAUUGAUUCCUGGUUGAAUUCUCAAGUCUAUUGUGUUUAGAUUCCUUAACGGCUUCACAUGAUAGACUAGUUAUCUCGUGAGUAGCCAACUCAAAGAAAAGAGUUAUAGGCGCGAAGAUAAAAUGCCCGACUUAUUCAAUUGAAAAUAGAAUUGGCAAAUUCAGGAUGUCACAUUUUUACGUGAAUCUAUCAUUUCUAGAUUAAACUCAUAUUCAGUUUACUAUAUGUGAUAGAGUGUUUCAUGUAGAUGUGGAUAUUUUGGCUGACAUUUUGGGUGUAGAACGGAGUGGUUUUCUACUCAUAAACGUAUCUAUCAUUAAAGCUACUAGAUUUCUCGUGAAAGAUAGAUUGCCGAGUGGGAGUAUUACUUACUCUCGUAUGCCAGCGCCAAACAUUAUGUUGCAUAAGAUAGUGAUCAAUGGCAUUAGACCCGAGGUUGCCUCCAAGAUUGAUGUUUCAAUAUUUGAGGCAAAUAUAAUGUGGGCAAUUUGCAAUGGAGUUCUUUUUUCCCUUCCACAUACUAUUUUUUUGCAUAUGUAUAGAACCGUGAUGAAAGAAAAAGGGCAACUGCCCUACUCUGCCUUAAUAACUCGAUUAUUCAGACACUUUCAGAUUCAAUUACCUUCUCAACUUUGAUUAAGGACUCUCACUCCUAUGGAAAUAUGAAUGAAGAUGAUUUCCAAAAUGAGGCUAAAUGAUCUAUCUAAGGCUCUGGACCUUUUGAAGAAUGAAUCAUCUAGCAGAAUCAAAGAUUGACCUGUUGCUGCAAAGAAGCGCAAGGGAAAGGAUGUUGUCCAGAAGACAUCAAAGAAAAAGAAAUCUAUUCUUCUACAAGAUGAAGAGGAGGAAGAUGAAGAUCUGACAAUCUCUGCCAUCACUUUGCGCAAUCUUCAAGGUUAUGUUGAUUAUGAAGAGACAGAAGAAAAAUAAGGUGAAAAGGAAGAAGAAAGUCAACACCAGUUUUGGGUAGAUAGUUUGGCUCUUUUUCUCUUUUGCAUUUCCUGAUGACAUUGUGACGUCGAUCAUGUUUGAGGCUUUUCGGUGGAGACUUGUAGCUUGUAUUCUUAUCCUCUAAUUUGCUAUGCAAACAUAAAGCUGAAAAAGUGGGAACAUUUUACUUGGUUUUGUGUGGUCAACUAGACAAAUAUUAUGUGGAGGCUGAGUGUCCACAUUGUCUUUUCCUAUUCUCUCCAUGUACUUACAUUUUGUUGAACUAGCAUCUUUGAAAGAGUGCCCUUUUCUUCAUUUGUCGUUAUAUUCGAUGCAAUAGUACAUCUUUCGUUAUUUGGUCGACUCAAGACCCAGAAAAUCUUAGGUUUGCAUCUUUCCAGCGAUCCACUCACUGUUACUUAUAUCCAAGAAAAAUGGUUCUUGUGCCAUUGUAUAACAUGCUUCAAGUGAGACAUACUCUCCAAUCUCUGGAUGUUAUCAGUAUAGGAGUUUUAACAAAUCAAAGAGAACCAAAAAACUGAACGAAACCUAUUGAAAUGGACUGGUGUGUAAGGACUGAUGUAUCUACCAGCACCAUGGCCUAGUGGCGGUUCAGUUACACCAUGUCUCAAGUAAUUCUGAGGUAUGAUUCCACCUUUUCCUGUCCCUUUACUGUCUAUCAGAUAGAUUACUGCUAAUAUGUCAUUCCUUAUCUUAGCCCGUUUUUCGUGGGCCAGGUCUUGGGCCAAGCUUAGGACUAGAAAUGAUGGUGGUGUUUUACCCAUAAGUCACAUUGUGCCAUUAGAUGUUUGAUUUAGAGCAUCACCCAAUUCAACCAUAGGCCAACGGUAGCUUAGGAGAGCACUUAUGGGCUCUCAUGUGGACCAUGAGCUCUUGCCUGGACUUGGGUCAGGUCUCGCACCGUACUCAAAAAAUGUCCACUCGACCACUCGACCCGCAUGGGGUGGAGACCGGGUAAAAGCACUGACCAUUUGACCAGAUCGAUGUGGCAUCAUUCGACAGUCCAACUUGAAGUCAGUCAAACACGUCUCCCCUGCAUCUCUCUCUCUCUCUCUCUCUUGCUCGCUCGCUGGGAACAGAAGAAUGGACGCCGUGGAUUCGGUGGUCGAUCCUCUUCGAGACUUCGCCAAGGACAACAUCCACCUCGUCAAGCGUUGCCACAAGCCCAACCACAAAGGUGACCGCUUCUCGUUCGCGCAUGCAAAAUGCAUUCUGUAAAAGAACUGAGGAAUUUUGGAAUGAGAAUUAUGUAGUUCAUUGACACAGAAAUGCAACAUAUAUACAAGAAGAUACAUCUGUCAAACAAUCUCCUAAUUAGGCUAAACUACCAAAAAUACAAGGACAGCACAAAUAAAAAGAUAUGUACACAAAACUUCAGAAGUAAACGGUCUAAAUAAAAACAUAUCACAACUGCCUUUCCAAUAUCUUUCAAUACCCCCCCCCCCUCAAGUUGGAGCAUGGAGAUCUCAAAUGCCCAACUUGCGAAGAAGAAAGUUAAAUUGAUCCUUUCCCAAUGUCUUCAUGAAGAUAUCAGCUAGCUGCAUUGAACUACGUACAUAAUUUGUUUGAAUGUUACCAUUAAGCAUCUCAUUACGAAUAAAAUGACAAUCUACUUCAAUAUGCUUGGUAUGCUCAUGAUAAAUAGGAUUGGCGGCUAUAUGUAAAGCUGCCCGACUAUCGCAAUACAACUGCAUAGGUUGAGAAUGUUCCACACCAAGAAAAUCCAAUAAUCCUUUCAACUACUUAAGUUCACAAACUAUAGUACUUAUAGACCUGUAUUCAGCUUCAACGGAUGAGCGAGACACUGUUUGUUGCUUCUUAGUCUUCCACAAGAUAGGUGAUUCUCCCAAAAGAACAAAGUAAUCGGUCAAAGAUCAUCUUGUCAAAGGACAACUAGCCCAGUCAGAAUCGCAGUAAGCAGACAAUUUGAGGUCACAAUUGGUACGCAACAUAAUACCCUAACCUAUAUUUCCUUUCAAAUAACGCAUAACUCUCACAACUGCCUCCCAAUGAGCUUUCUUUGACCGCUGCAUGAACUGUGCAAGAAUAUGUACACAGUAAGACAAUUCAUGUCGUGUUAUUGUUAGAUAAAUAAACCGAUCCACUAGGCACCUAUACUGAGUAGGGUUGUCUACAUCAUCACUCUUAGUGAGGACCAACUUGUGAUUUUGUUCAAGAGGAGUUUUAGUCGGCUUGGAACCGAGCAAUCCGACCUCAAAAAUCAUAUCCAACACAUACUUACAUUGACACAAGAAAAUACCAUCUGAGUUUCUCGCCACUUCAAUCCCCAAGAAAAAUUUCAGCUUCCCCAAGUCUUUCAUAUGAAAACGACGACUUAAAUAGUUCUUGAACUUUUGCACAGCGGAAAUAUCAUUACUGGAGAUAAUGAGAUCAUCAAUAUAAAUAAGCACAUUCAAUUGAGCAGUCCCAACUCAAAAAGUGAACAAGGGGUAAUCUGAAUAUGAUUGCUGAAAUCCAUAAGCUUUCAAAGAUGCUGCCAAUUUCGCAAACCAACAUCUAGGUGCUUGUCGCAAAUCGUAUAGAGAUUUCCGAAGUCUUCAUACCUUCCUUGAUGAUUAAGAGGCAAAUCCAGGCGACAUCUUCAUGUAAACCUCUUCCUUUAAAUUGCCAUGUAAGAAAACAUUUUGAACGUCCAUCUAAUGAAGUUCCCAAUUCUUUGCAACCGUAACGGCAAGAAAGGUGCAUACAGUGCACAUUUUUGUCGUAGGAGCAAAAAUCUCCUGAUAAUCUAUGCCUUCAACUUGUUUAUUUCCUAGUAUCAGCAACCGCACCUUGUAUCAUUCAACGCUUCCAUCAAAAUUGUACUUAAUUUUAUACACCCACUUGCUCCCAAUUGCUUUCUUCCCAGGCGGCAAAUUUUAGAUUGUCCAUGUGCCAUUAUCUUCUAAAGCCUGUAUUUCUUUACUCAUGGCCUCUCUCCACCGUUCAUCUUUAAUUGCUUAUGCAUAAGAGUUUGGUUCAUGUUCUGCAGUAAUUGCUGCCAAGAAACACCAGUGUUGCGCAGAAAAUUUUUUAUAACUCACAUAACAUGCUAUAGAAUAAGGCAUACCUAAGGAAUCAGAUCGGGCAAAUAAGCAUGUCGAGGGGCUUAUUUUGAUGGCAUUUGUCACAUAAUCUUUCAAACAAAUAGACGGUUGCUUGACCCUUUGUCCCCUGCCUAGUUGCUCUUCAUCAACUUCACUUCUUUCCACAUCCUCAUUGUUUGUGUGGAUCAAUUCCUCCAUUUCAUGAUUCACCUCAUUUUCUCUAUCUACACUUUCGGCAUGCUCCUCUCUCAAGUCACUUUUUAAAUCAUCAACUUCAUCACCCAACUCCAUAACUCUAUUUUUAAUGAGUUCAUCACUUACUGUUUUCUCAUCAGCAUAUGGAAAUUCUAUUUCGCAAACACUACAUCUCUCGAUACAAAGUAUUCACCAGCUUCUAAAUCAUACAAUCUCCACCCCUUCUUUCCCAAUGGAUAACCAACAAAAACACAUCGACGACUUCUACUAGCAAAUUUAUAUUUAUCCCGAUUCUAAUUAUGCGCAUAGCACAAACAACCAAAAAUCCGAAUAUGUUUGUAAGAAGGAGGUUGGCCAAAAAUAAUCUCAUAUGGGGUUUUGCCAUUCAAUAAUAUAAUGGAGUCCUGUUAAUCAAAUAUCCAGCUACAAGUACACAUUUUCCCCAAAAUUCUAUAGGUAAAUUUGCUUGGAAAUGCAAAGCUCUUGCAACAUUAAGGAUAUGGCGAUGCUUUCUUUCCACUCGGCCAUUUUGUUGAGGUGUUCCAACACAAGAAGUCUGAUGCAAUAUCCCAUGUUCAUCAAAAUAUUCUUUCAAACACAAAAAUUCACUUUCGUUAUCACUUCUAACAAUUUUCACAUUUUUCUCGAAUUGGCAUCUAACCAUCGCAAUAAACUUCCUAAGAACACAAGCCACUUCAUUUUUUCCAUUCAGCAAAUGUAUCCACACAGCACGAGAGUAAUCAUCAACAAUUGUCAAGAAAUAAAUUGCUCCACAUGAAGCUAGCACUCUAUAAUGUCCCCACAAAUCACAAUGUAUUAAUCCAAAACAAUCUUUAGCUUUAUUGUUACUAGAAAAAGAAGAUCUCUCUUGUUUGUUUUGCUCUAAAACAAACCUCACAAGUUUUAUUGGUUUUCCUAACCAUUUUGCCAGCUUCUAGAAUUAACUCCACUACCUUGGAAGAAGGAUGACCCAUUCUUUUAUGCCAAAGCUCAAAGGAUUCCAUAUCAGCCACCAUGCAAGCAUGUACUGAAGUCACUCCCUUGAGAAAGUAAAGCCCCUCGCAUUGCUCACCCGCUCCAAUCAAGUUCCUCGAAUUUAGGUCCUGUAUAGCACAUAUUUUGUUAGUCAGUUGAAUAACCAAAUUUGAAUCAUUAAAAAGUUGUGAUACAUAAAUCAGAUUACAUUUCAAAUUGGGCACACAAAGAACUCGUCACAAUUUCAAGUCUCCUCCAAGAAACACAAUUCCUUCUUUCAUUGCCAUGGUCUUUUCUCCAUCAAGUAACUCAACUAAGCAUGGCACAAUAUCACACAAUUCUCUCAAAACUGCCAACGUUCCUAUCAUAUGGUGGGAAGCUCCUAUGUCAAUAAUCCAAGGAAAAAUACUUUGUUUACUAGUCAGCCUCUCAUGGGCACCAUUCUGAUGAGAACUUAACAUUCCCAAUAAAGUUGCCCAGUGCUCAUCAUUCAAUCCACUAAGACCCUUUCGAUCUGAAUCCGUCACAACUCCUCGCCCACCAUCAACUCUAGUUACCUGUGAGACGUUGGCAUGAGCACCACCUCCCUUUGUACGUCCACCUCUAUUACUAUGCUUUUGACCACUACCUUGUCUAGCAAAGGUUCCACGUGGUCUAUUACCCCACCAUUCUGGAUAUCCUAUUAGCUGGAAACAACUUUCAGCAUCAUGUCCCUCUCGGUUGCAAUUAGAACAAAACAGGAUCUUAUCUUUAUCCCCCCUUGAAUUUUGACCACUUGCUUGGAUUGCAAAACUCAUGGGAUUGUCUCUUUCAUCCUUGGUUCGUGUCAUAGUUCGCACUUGCUUUUGCUGAACAACCAUAGCAUAGACACGAUUUAGAUUAGGCAAAGGUUCAGUGCUCAAAAUAUUAGCGCGCACUGUUCCAUAUCCUUCUUCAUCUGAGCCCAUAAAAAACUGAUGAACUCUCUCUUCUUCACGCUUUCUUUCCAAUUCAAUGGUUAUAUGGCAUCUACAACCUAUACAAACACACAUCAGUAAAUGAUCAUAGUUAUUUAUUUCAUCCCACAAGAUUUUGAGUUUACUGAAAUAGGAUGGGUUGACCAUCCUGACUACAAUUGGCCAAAUCCGAUCUUAGUUGCUGCAUCCGUGGACCAUUCCCAAUUGAGAAUCUUUGUUUGAUAUCCUCCCACAAAUCUUUCACGUUCUCCAUGUGAGAGAUAGUCGAGCGAAGUGCCGGUUCAAUAGUAUUAAACACCCAAGAAACCAACAUGGAAUUAACCGUCCACCAAUCUUCAAGUUCCAACGAAUCAUCUGCUGGUUGCUUGACAGAUCCAUCAAUAAAACCAUAUUUCUUCUUGGCUCGUAAUGCAGUCCGCAUAGCUUGCGCCCAUUCUUCAUAAUUCUCGCCCUUCAACCGAACUUGGAUAAUCAAGUUACCUGGGUUGUCAUUCGAAUUUAGUGUGUAAGGGCUAGAGGCUUUCUUGUCUGUUCCAAAACUCUCCUCACUUUUUUUUCCAUCAGCCAUGGCUCUGAUACCAUGUAAAAGAACUAAGGAAUUUUGGAAUGAGAAUUCUGUAGUUCAUUGCCACAGAAACGCAACAUCUAUACAAGAAGAUAUAGCUAUCAAACAAUCUCCUAGUUAGGCUAAACUACCAAAAAUACAAGGACAACACAAUAAAAAAGAUAUGUUUACAAAACUUCCUAAGUAAACGGCCUAAAUAAAAGCCCUAAAUAAAAACAUAUCACAAUUGUCUUUCCAAUAUAUUUCAAUACAUUCUUGCCCUGUCAUCUCCCGGACUUUCUUGAUCGAUUGGUUUCGGUUCUGUCUUUCCCCUGCAGAGUUCACCAAGGUCACCUUUUUGCACCACCAUUGGAUUCGUGGUCAUGGGUUUUGUUGGGUUCUUUGUGAAGCUCAUCUUCAUCCCCAUCAACAACAUCAUCGUCGGGUCCGGUUAGGAGGUAAUUCAUGCCCUGCUUCUUGUUUUGUGUGUGUGUGUGUUUUCUUGCUUUUGUAGAUCUCCCAAUGCUCGACCGCGGCUCUUUGUUAUCGGGUUGUCUUCUGUCUAGAUUCUCAAUCUCUAAGGUAGAUCUUGUGCCCUUCUGUUCUUAUGAAAGAAAGGUGCUUCCUUUGGCUAGCGCGGAGGCUCUUUGUGAAAGCUGCAUAUAGUUCUUUAGGGUAACGGAUUCAUCACUUGAACUUGUUGUGGAUGUUUAUCCUGUCGUUUGUAAGGAUCUGCAUAUUGUUUGAUGUGGCCACCUACAUAUGAAUUAUUUUAAAUUUAAAACGUAUCAGUAGGCCUAGCCUACAAAUCUAUUUGAACUAUCAACUAAUUCCUAGAAUUUUAGGCAUGAUGGGAUUGUAAUUCUUUCUACUUCUUGAGGUAUAAUGACAGACCGAGAGGCUCGACUAGAAAGAAUCGGCAGAGAAAUUUUGUGUUAUAUAUGGUAAUCUUUCUGUUUUGAUAUCCGAAUUGGAUCCAUAAUUUUCCUAUUUGCCCUCCGAAGAGUCCUCCAAAUAUUAUUUUGGUCUUGGAUUAGUGAUCCAUUUUGAUAUCUUUUUGGAGGAAUGUGAAUAGGGAAGAGAGGAUAGGCUCAUUACAUUAAAAAAAAACAAUAAAAAAAGAUAUGGGAAUUUUACAUAAGUAAUUGAGCGUGAGAGCCAAAUGAAUUGAAAGAUUCAUGUUUGGUUCAGGAAGGGAUUAUGGAAGUUUUGAAAUGAAUGGAAAGAUAAUCUACUUUCAUUAAGUGAUUUAUUAGAUAAUUGAAAAAAGAGGAUCUUGAAUACUAUUCGCAAUUAAGAAGAAUUAUGUGGCAGGGCCAUUGAAUAGCUGGAAAAAGCUUGGGCCCAUUUACGAAAAGUGGAAAUGGAAGCGGAGCAGUUUUGAGUGAAUGGAUGCGAGGAUGGGAAUUUAUGAUAUGAAAAAACAAUUUCUAUUUCUAAUAAAUAUGGAAAAAAAAAUGUAGAACCUAGAAAAGAAAGAAAAAUUUAUUGGAAUUACUAGUCUUAGAAUCGAGUUGGACAAAAAUAGAAGGCGCACAGGUUGUGAACUUCUUUUCCCAGAGAAGAAGCAAUGACGGUAUCUAGGGAAUAAGCAUCGACUAACUCUGUGCCAGCAACUGUGGUAAUACAGAGGAUGCAAGCGUUAUCCGAGAUGAUUGGGCGUAAAGCAUCCGUAUGUGGCGCGACGCUAUCACUGAUUCAGAGCAAACCUUCGUGAUGGGAGAGAUGGAAAGCUGCUGAUGGAUUGGACAUGCAUUCAUUAUUGAGAGUCUAUCAGAAGGAUUCAUUUGCAGAUUGUAAAUAGAUCGAUUUUAGUUUCAGGGGCCCUCUUUCAGUUACCGCUUUUCGGCUUUGCAAAGCCAUUGUGAUAAUUGGGGUUUUAUUUUAAAUCAAACUUAUCUUACUGUUUUUCUGUUGUUUUUAACCUUCAUGAAACUACUGUUCAAUCCAUGAAGUUACCAAACACAUGCUUUUUAGUGGUGGCAAAAUUUUUCUAGGUGAAGUUCUCACUUUUAAUGAUUCUUAACACAGCAGACAUGCUAUUCUUAGUCCUAGAUGUAUACAAAUAAAUGUUGAUAUUGCUAGUACAAGUACCUAGAGGGGGGUGAAUAGGUUUAUAAAAGUUUUCUUGAAGAUUGGACAAUACUUAGACAGAUGAAGGAUUUGCAAUAAUUAAAAAAUCAAUCGUAAGACUGAGUAAGGGAAAGAGAGAAUUGAACAUGCGGUUUAUAGUGGUUCGGCUUGAUGCAAGCCUACGUCCACUCUUCUGCACUGACAGCCGAUUGGCUGGAUUCCACUAUGAACAAAGAGAUGUUACAAUGUUGAUCUUCCUUGAUUUCUCGAUGUAGAUGAUCUACUACACUCGCUCAAGGUAUCACCAAGUAUAAACACUCUCUGUGUAUACAAUUUCGCUCGAACUGUAUCGACUAACAAUCAAGGUUCUUCAGAUUCUGGAAUUUUCCUAUCAAUCACACACUUAAAACAACUAGAGCGUCUUCCUUUUAUACUCCUUUAUGCCAUCAUAGCCGUUGGCACUUACCAAAGGAAUUCCUCCAAUCUACCCGUUGGACGGAAUCAAUUAAGAAGAUCAUCCGAGCUAUUUAAGGAAUCUGAUGAUAGCCCAUCAAUCUUGUUCGCCCAUACAAUCAGGAUCUUGGUUUCCAAGAAUAGAACAUUCCAAGAAUGUUUCGUCGAUCAUUGGAUCUUCAAUUGAUCUUAGAUAGGAAUCAAAGAAUCCGAAAUGAUUAUCCAACCAAGGGAUCUUUUCCAGAGGAUAGGAUCGAAUCCUCAACCAUAUACUUCGGCUUUGGAUUUCCUUCGUCACUGGAUUAGAAAGACUGUCAGUGAGAAUAGUCAUGAGUCUUGAGUCUUGAGUCUUGAGUCUUGAGUUUACAAAGUCUUGAGACUUUAAACUGUCGAUAUCCAGACUAGACUGAUAGAAAUGUUUUGUCAGCUUCAAAAUAUUCUGGAAAGAUUUCUCCAACAAUCUCCCCCUUUUUGAUGGUGACAAAACUUUCUUGUAGAUUUGAACAACUUUGACCUGCAAAAACAUUUCUCAAGCAAUAUGGCUAACUCAUAAAGAUUAAUAAAACAACCAGACUCUGCAUCCACAGAAAAUUGGUUAGUCUUUCAUGAGUAAUACCAUAUAACAAAACUUGAUAUAAAUGUAACCAGUCAAGCAUCAAAAUCCACAUACAAUUCAGUCAAAUUUAAAAUCACACCCAAGUUCAAGUUCUCAAGUCAUACUCAAAAAUAAACAUAACCAACCACAAAAGUCAAAGUUUUUAGAAUUGUUUUGGUUCAAAUUGGUUCUCCCCCUUUUUGUCAUCAUUAAAAAGGGUGAGAAAGGAGUCAUGUCUACUUGGGAAUGCGCACGAUCUGGAAAUCUCCCAUUGACUGACUAAGCCUUUUAGCCUCUUCAAAUCCUCCCUUAGAUGAGCUACCUCUUCUCCUUUGGCAUUGGCUUGAAGUUGCAGAGCGAGGUCUUUCAUCUUGUCCUUCAGGGUGACUGAAGAUGCCUGUCCAGCAUUCUUCAUGGUUUGAAUUUCACAGUCCAGAGCAUAUAUCUGACCACGCAUUUCCAGAAGAAUAUCCAUGAUGCGAUGAAAAUCUGCAGAAUUUUCCGUCUGUGUACUGGCAUGAGCUUUCUCAAAUGGAGUAAAUGGAGACGAUGGCGCUUUUGUAUAGUCUUGCAUAUUUGGUGUCGACGUAUCACCUUCUUCAGGCAAUUGAGAAGCCUGAAAUUCUUCUGGGUCUGUUGGAGAUUGUCUUGGACCUUCACUAUCGACUGCAUGAGGUGUAGACCUUUCUUGCUCGCCAACUCCCCCUGUCUCUAGGACAUCCAAAGGGGAAGAGUGAUGAUCAUGCUCUUGAUUUCCCUUCUCUCCAGAUUCAGCAGCAGACUUUUCUUUCUCUUCUUCAGCUUCUUUCUCCUUCUCUCUCUGCUCUUCUUCUUCUCUGCUCUUGGUUUGCUCUUCUUCUUCUCUCUGUUUCUUCUUAAGAUCUGUCGACUGAGACACAGAACGUCUGGUUCUUGUCAGUGCAUGGAUGGUAGGAUCUUCAUCCUCUUCAUCUUCAUCCUCCAGGAUGAGAGUUCUUUUCUUCUUUUUCGAUGGGGCACCAAUGGCCUCCUUUCCUUUUCUCUUUGAAGCAGACUGAACUGGAGAUUUCAUUCUGAAUUUUUCCAUUGCCUUGGAAAGUUCUUGCAGACGCAUCUUCGUUAACAUUUUCAAACCUACCACCAUCUUAUCACAUGGUUGAACACAAAGUGUUUGUGGCGGUUCAAUAUUCAUGUGUCUGAAGAUCUUGGUCACCAGACCAGGAUAAGGCAAUUGUCCUUUAUCUUUCGACAUUGCUCUAUACAUAUGGAAGAGAAUAGUGUGCGGGAGAGAGAACUUUCGUCCUGAGUUGAUCGCGUACAUCAACUUUGCUUCAGAAAGAGACACAGAAGUCUUUGACGUAGACUUUGGUCUAAGACAGUUGAUUACAAUCUUAUGAAGCACAAUGUUGAUGGCAUUCAUCCUGGAAUAGGUAACUUUCUUCUCUGCGUUCCUAUCUUUGACAAGUUCCAGAGUAGUACGAGUAGGUGAGACUUUGAUUGGUAGAUAACGUCCUCGUUCAACUCCAACUAUGUCUGCCAAUAUAUUCACAUCUACCACGUAGACUUGGUCUCGUACACUGAAUGAAAUUCUAUUCGCAUCCAGAAAGCUAAGAUUUGAAUAGAAAUAAGCGGUCAGAUGAGCAUACCCGUCAGUAGAAUCAGAGCAAAAAUUCUCAAGUUGAAACAAAUUCAACUUUUCUCUUAAGUUCAUGUUGAUAGCGUCCAGGAAGUCAAAAUCGACACUUCUAGGGUUUAUCACCCCUCUUUUCAACAGCCUGAAAUACACUUUUUCCUGAUCCUUGGAUUUGAACAAAUCCAUCCGAUUUCCUUUCACCUUUGCCGCCACUCCCAUUUUCGGUUGAAAUUCAAGGAACAUUCUGUCAUCAUCGUUCCCUUCAAUUAAAUUUUGUCCUGGCAUACGAGGAUCGCUUGGAAUGUUUGCAAGUGCGUCCUCUGCUUUUCCUUUCGGGGCAAUUCCCAAAUCCUCCAUUUUCCUUAGAAAAAGAUACUCAUUCCCAUAAUUUUUAUCCUUAAGGAAGUCAUCUAUAUAUUUCAAUGGAGUACCGAUGCUUUUCAACGCACGAUAAAUUUUAUAGAUAAAGGAGGGUUUUUGGACUCUUACUGGGUCGGCAUCCUCGAUUAUCUCUUCUUCCAGAAGAUGACUUUCACCUUGUGGGGCAGGAGGCGUUGAAUGACGUGGAUGAGAGCGAAUCGGACUUUGACACUGACUUGUUAAGUCUUCUUCCUCAGUGAGAUCGAAGUGAGUCGGUCCCUUCUCCAUUCUCUGUGGUCCCCUGCUUGCGAUUCUUGAUGAUUUCCUCGAAGAAGACAUCUUUCUUUGUCGAUUAGAAGAUUCCUUCACUUGCUUUCCCAAGAAAAAUGACCACUUUCUCGACGACGAACAAGUAGUAGAAACAGUAUCGGGAGGAGAGUGCCUUUUAGGGUUUUGAAGAUUGGGAAAAGAAAAACUGUAUAUAUAUAACUCAGUUUUGAAAAAGGAAGUUCAAUCGGUGCAAGGAAAGUGUAUGAACACUUCUUUUCAAAAUCAAUAACUACCAAAAUUAUUUCUUUUUUAAAAAGACAAGUCUUCAAAUUUUAAGUGGAUUAUAGAAUAUCCGAACAAAAGAUCGUACCUUUUCGAGUUUAGAUACCUAAACGAAAAUCCGUUCCUUUACAACUUACAGUCUAUAGCCACGAAUGUCUGAGUCUGAGGAUUUAAAGUCUGAAAGAUUAGAGUUUUAGAGUUGGUGAGUCUCUAGACUUUAACUUCUUCAAGCUUCAAAAUGUUGAGUCUUGAACGGAUAAAGUCGAAUUGAUUUUUCUCCAAAGGCUUUGUGAAUAUAUCCGCUAGUUGACUCUUUGAAUCAACAAAUUGAAUUGAGAUUUCUCUAUUUUGAAUAUGAUCUCUAAUGAAGUGAUGUCGAAUCUCAAUAUGCUUUGCUCUUGAAUGAAGGAUUGGAUUUUUGGUGAGAUUGAUCGCACUGGUGUUGUCACAUCUGAUUUCUGUGCAUGAGUCUUCAAUCCCAAAGUCUUGUAGCUGUUGUUUCAUCCAUAGAAUUUGCGAACAGCAGCUUCCAAGAGCUACAUACUCUGCUUCUGUCGUUGAGAGAGCUACAGUGCUUUGCUUCCUUGAAAACCAAGACACUAUCCUGUUUCCAAGUAGUUGACAAGUUCCAGAAGUGCUUUUUCUAUCGACUCUGCAACCGGCCAGAUCUGCAUCUAAGUAUCCUAGAAGAUUAAAGUCUCCCUUCUUGGGAUACCAGAGACCGAUGCUUGAAGAUGAGGCAACGUAUUUGAUAAUACGUUUUGCAGCACUGAGAUGGGAUUCUCUAGGAUCUGAUUGAAACCUAGCACAAAUGCAAACACUCAACAAAAUAUCAGGUCUAGAAGCAGUAAGAUAAAGAAGUGAACCGAUCAUGCUCCUGUACAGCUUUUGAUCUACUUUCUUCCCUUCUUCAUCCUUGUCUAUCUUCUGAGAACAUGACAUUGGUAUGUCGGUCUUUUUGCACUUUUCCAAUCCAAACCUUUUGACAAGAUCAUUCACAUAUUUUUCUUGAUAAAUAAAAGUUCCUUCCCUCAUUUGUUUCACUUGAAGUCCAAGAAAGAAUGUUAAUUCUCCCAUCAUACUCAUUUCAAACUCAUCCUGCAUAGACUUAGAAAAUUUCUUGCAUAGACUUUCAUUUGGUGAUCCAAAAAUAAUAUCGUCUACAUAUAUUUGAACAAGUAAAAAGUUUUUGUUUUCCUUUUUGAUAAACAAAGUAGUAUCUACUUUACCUUUGACAAAACCAUUCUGUAAUAAAAACUUACUUAGUCUGUCGUACCAAGCUCGAGGUGCUUGCUUUAAACCAUACAAGGCCUUUUUCAGUCUGAAGACUGAGUUUGGCUUCUUUGGGUCUUCAAACCCAGGUGGUUGUUCCACAUAAACUUCCUCAUGGAUGAAUCCAUUUAGGAAUGCACUUUUGACGUCCAUUUGGAAUAACCUGAAAUUUUUAUAACAAGCAAACGCAAGUAAUAGACGAAUAGCUUCUAACCUUGCUACUGGAGCAUAAGUCUCAUCAUAGUCUAUUCCUUCUUCUUGCGUAUAUCCUUUGGCCACGAGUCUUGCUUUGUUUCGUACGACUUUUCCUUCUUCAUUCAUCUUGUUCCUGAAUACCCACUUGGUUCCAAUAACAGUUUUACCUUUUGGUUUAGAUGUCAAUUCCCAGACAUCAUUGAUGUUGAACUGUCUGAGUUCUUCUUGCAUAGCUUCGAUCCAACUUUCAUCAGAUGAAGCUUCUUCUAUGCUUUUUGGUUCAAUUUCAGAAAUGAGAGCCACAGCACUAGAUUCUUCACGCCUUUUUGAUCUGGUGCGGAUUCCUUCAUUGAUUUCGCCAAUAAUGAGAUCUUUGGGAUGACUGGAUUUAUGCUUCCAGUUACUGGUUGAUCUGCCUGGUUGAUGAUCUCUAUCUUUAUUUGAAUCUUCAUGAGUUUCUUGAUGUUGGACUUCCAGAGACUGAGAUGCUUCUUGAGUUGUAAGCGUUGGAAAUUCUGGAGUGGGUUCAGACUCUUCAUACUAAGUCUGGCUGGAUUCAUCUUGCAUUGAGUCUUGGAAUUUGACAUUCUUGAGUUGUAAGCGUUGGAAAUUCUGGAGUGGGUUCAGACUCUUCAUACUAAGUCUGGCUGGAUUCAUCUUGCAUUGAGUCUUGGAAUUUGACAUUCAUUGAUUCCUCCACCGACUGGCUUUUCUUGUUAUAGACUCUGUAGGCUUUGCUUGAUGUAGAAUAUCCAAGGAAGAUGCCUUCAUCUGAUCUUUGAACAAUUCAUAGGGGGUUUUCUCUAAAAUAGGUCUUAAAAAGACUCUAUUUAUAAUAUAGCAUGCUGUUAAAACAGCUUCAGCCCAAAAUCGUGAAGAAAUUUUGCUUUCAAUUAUAAGUGUUCUAGCCAUUUCUUGAAGAGAUCUAUUCUUUCUUUCCACAACUCCAUUUUGCUCAGGAGUAUAUGGAGAGGAAAACAUAUGAUUAAAACCAGAUUUAUCACAAAAUUUCGUAAAAUCUUGAUUUUCAAAUUCACUUCCAUGAUCUGUUCUUAUGCUUGAGAUUGCACAUCCUUUUUCAUUUUGAACCUUUUUGGCAAAUUUUUCAAAAUACGAAAAGGUUUCUGACUUACUUGCAAGGAAAUAUACCCAUGUAAAGCGGGAGUAAUCAUCCACAAUUACUAGGCAAUAUUUCUUACCUCCAAUGCUCUGGGUUCUGGUCGGUCCGAAGAGAUCCAUAUAAAGCAACUGUAGUACAUGAUUAGUAGAGACAUGAUUUAUUGGCUUAAAUGAAUUUCUUACCUGCUUUCCCAGAAUGCAUGGAGUGCAUGAAUCAGACUUUUGGUAUGGCAAUUUAGGUAGACCUCGAACAAGCUUCUUUGAUGAGAUUUUGGCUAAUUGUUUCAUGUUGACAUAGCCAAGCUUUCUGUGCCAUAAGACUGCUUCAUCUUGAAUUGAGAUUAGGCAUUGUGCUUCAUUUGGUUUUACAUCAAGGAGGUAGAUAUUUCCAUGCCUUCGACCCAUGAAAGACUGAGUUGAGUCUUUGCUAAUUCCAGAACAUAUACCUUCUUGAAAGGAGAUCUUGAAACCAGUAUCACACAAUUGGCUAAUGCUUAGAAGAUUGUAGUUGAGUCCUUCCACUAGAGAGACAUUGCUUAUUGUGAGAUUUCCAAUUUUCACAGUUCCAAAGCCCACAAUGCUUCCUUUGCUGUUUCUUCCAAAUGAAACUUUUCCACCAUUUACUUGAACAAGCUUUAUAAAGCAAUUUGAGUCUCCUGUCAUGUGUCUUGAACAUCCGCUGUCAAGAUACCACUUAACUUUCUUUUUGACAGAGACCUGCAUUAAAAGAGAGUCUCAAGCUUUCUUUGGUACCCAAAUUUUCUUGGGUCCUUUGGCGUUAGUAGAAUGAGCAUUACUAGGCCAUACCUUUUUAACAGGCUUCCAAACCAUAGGACACUCUUUUUCAAAAUGAUCCUCACUGUUACACUUUGAACACCUUAGAGCAUUUCGACCUACAGACUUUACAAAGACUUUCUCGAAAUGAUUUUUGUAAGCCUCUUUUGACAGUCUUUUCUUAAUUCUUCCUUUUACUUUUGGAAAAUCAAUCAAAGGAAUUAUUUCUGCUAUCAUACCUAAACCAGACUUAUUGAAGUAAGGUCUUUGGAUUGAAAGAACUUUUUCAAGUUUUUCAGACCCUAUUGAAAAUUUCUUUGAAAUAUUUGAUAAGUCAGUUUUUAAGAAAGCAUUUUCUUUUGAAAGUUUAUCUUCAUUCUCCUUAAGAGUUGAAACAUUCAAAUCUAAACUUUUCACUUUUUCUUCUAAAAUAUUUUCCUUUUGUUUUAAAACUGAGUUUUCCUUUUUAAGUUCGGAAAUCUUUUUGAGAGAAGUCUUAAGACUAAAACAUAGUUCAUCAAUGUAUUUAGAGACUUUAACAGGGAUUUUAUAAUCACUUACCUCAAAUUCACUGUCUGAGUCUGAUCCAGAGUCUGAGUCUGAUUGUGCCAUCAGACACAGAUUGGCAUAUUCCUCAUCACUUUCUUCACACUCUGUAUCGCUCUAAGUUUCGGCUUUGAAAGCUUUUUGAGACUUUUCAGCUUUUCCUCUCUUCUUCUUCAGGAGAGGACAAUUUGGUCUGAUGUGUCCCUUUUUCUUACAUUCGAAGCAAACUACAUCUUUGUUUGGUUCCUCAUUAUCAACAAACUUGGUUUGCUGUUUCUGAAGACUUUGUUUCCUUGAGUUGAACCUUCUUCCUUUUCUAUUCAGCUUUCUGAACUUUCUAAUCAUUAGAGCAAGCUCCUCAUCGUCCAGAUCUUCUUCAGAGUCUGUAUCAUCAGAAUCAUCGUUAGAUUUUAAUGCAAUGGAUUUCUUACCUCUUGGAUCUUCGUCUUCAUUAAUUCGUUCCACUUCGUAAGACUGAAGAGUUCCAAUCAGCUCGUCUACAGAUAAUGGCAUAAUUCUUUGCGUCUCUCUUAUUGAAGUCUUUAUAUGAUUCCAAUCCUUGGAGAGUCCACGCAGCAGUUUGUUCACCUUCAUAGGAUCAGAAAUUUUCUGUCCUUGAUUUUCAAGGCCAUUGACAAUAUCUGUAAAACGGCUAAACAUGUCAGUUAUAGAUUCUCCUGGUUUCAUUUUGAAGGCUUCAUAUUGACCAAGGAGAAUGUUAAUUCUGGUCUCCUUCACUCGGUCUGUUCCUUCAUAAGUGAUAUGUAAUCUGUCCCAGACUUCUUUUGCUGUGACACAAGAAGAUAUUAUGUUAUAUUCAGUUGGUGAUAAAGCACAAUAUAAAGAGUAAAUUGCUUUUGCAUCGAGUGCUUGUCUCUUGUUUAUCUCUUCUUGAGACAUUCCACUGAUAUCAACAGUUUCUUUCCCUCUUUCGGAUACUGAUGCAGCAGUAGGAAUAAUUCCUCUUUCCCCUACAUCCCAUUCCAGAGGAUCCUUUGACCGUAGAAAAGCUUUCAUCUUGUUUUUCCAGAUGUUGUAAUCCUUUCCAUCAAAGUAGGGUGGUCUGAUAUUGCUUUGCCCUUCCACCAGCCCUGGUGCUAGCAUACUAGCCAUGGAUCUUUUACUCUGAAGUAAANNNNNNNNNNNNNNNNNNNNNNNNNNNNNNNNNNNNNNNNNNNNNNNNNNNNNNNNNNNNNNNNNNNNNNNNNNNNNNNNNNNNNNNNNNNNNNNNNNNNNNNNNNNNNNNNNNNNNNNNNNNNNNNNNNNNNNNNNNNNNNNNNNNNNNNNNNNNNNNNNNNNNNNNNNNNNNNNNNNNNNNNNNNNNNNNNNNNUAGUGGUUCGGCUUGAUGCAAGCCUACGUCCACUCUUCUGCACUGACAGCCGAUUGGCUGGAUUUCACUAUGAACAAAGAGAUGUUACAGUGUUGAUCUUCCUUGAUUUCUCGAUGUAGAUGAUCUACUACACUCGCUCAAGGUAUCACCAAGUAUAAACACUCUCUGUGUAUACAAUUUCGCUCGAACUGUAUCGACUAACAAUCAAGGUUCUUCAGAUUCUGGAAUUUUCCUAUCAAUCACACACUUAAAACAACUAGAGCGUCUUCAUUUUAUACUCCUUUAUGCCAUCAUAGCCGUUGGCACUUACCAAAGGAAUUCCUCCAAUCUACCCAUUGGACGGAAUCAAUUAAGAAGAUCAUCCGAGCUAUUUAAGGAAUCUGAUGAUAGCCCAUCAAUCCUGUUCGCCCAUACAAUCAGGAUCUUGGUUUCCAAGAAUAGAACAUUCCAAGAAUGUUUCGUCGAUCAUUGGAUCUUCAAUUGAUCUUAGAUAGGAAUCAAAGAAUCCGAAAUGAUUAUCCAACCAAGGGAUCUUUUCCAGAGGAUAGGAUCGAAUCCUCAACCAUAUACUUCGGCUUUGGAUUUCCUUCGUCACUGGAUUAGAAAGACUGUCAGUGAGAAUAGUCAUGAGUCUUGAGUCUUGAGUCUUGAGUCUUGAGUUUACAAAGUCUUGAGACUUUAAACUGUCGAUAUCCAGACUAGACUAAUAGAAAUGUUUUGUCAGCUUCAAAAUAUUCUGGAAAGAUUUCUCCAACAAAUGUUACCUCUGCCUUAUAGAAAGCACGAUGGCCCUUUUGUGUACCUUCUGUCGUGAUACUGGAAAAGAUCUAGCCUUACGGAAAUGCCAGAGUCAUUGAUGCUAAUCCUUUUCUGGACUAUUGUGAGUUACUUUUUCACUGAAUCCAUGGCAGUGUCCCAAUUAGAUAUCAAAUUAAGUUUCCCGACGGAUGUUUCGCNNNNNNNNNNNNNNNNNNNNNNNNNNNNNNNNNNNNNNNNNNNNNNNNNNNNNNNNNNNNNNNNNNNNNNNNNNNNNNNNNNNNNNNNNNNNNNNNNNNNGAUCUAGGUCGGCGAGGUCGCGCGACCUCCCGUGACCUUGCCGACCCAGAUCCAGGGACAGCAAGGUCGCGUGACCCCGCCGCGACCCAGAUCCGGGGGCGACGAGGUCCUCCCGCGACCUCACCGCCCCAGAUUUGGGUCGCGGGGGUCACCGAAGGUCGCGCGGCGUGGUCGCUUGACGUCCGGCAGCCUCCCGCCGAGGUCGCGGGACCUCGCCGCCCCAGAUCUGGGUCGCAAUGGGUCGCCCGACGUCCGGUAGCCCUCACCAGGGGUCGCCUAACGUCUGGCUUGCCUUGUCGGGGAUCGCCCGACGUCCAACAGCCCUCGCCGAGGUUCGCCCGACGUUCAGCAACCCUCGCCGGGGGUCUCCCGACCUUUGCCAUUGCCAAUUUAUUUUUUUUAUUUUUUUAUAAUUUUUUUAUCACAAAAGUCCUAUAAUUUCCCCAAACAUCAUUUGCUCAAAGAUACUUCAUAAUGGACUUUUAAAUUGUAAUUUACCAAACACAAUUUGCUUUCUGAAAAGUCCCCCCUCUCAACCUAAAGUUCUUUGCAUUUUCCCAAUGGUUUUCCCAAAAAGUCUAACCAAACACACCCUUAGUGCAUUAGCUCGACUUAUUGGGUGCAAAGCUUUGAAACUACGGCUUUUCAGUUUCAUUCAUUGCCCACCGUCUUGACGAAAGAAUUAAAAAGUCGAUCUUUAGGUGCCGCGAAGAAUGAUUGGCACGGAUGCGUUUCAAGAGACCCCUAUUGUUGAGGUAACCCGGUCCAUAACGAAGCACAACUAUCUGGUUCUUGACGUGGAAGAUAUACCGAUGAUCAUCAGCGAGGCAUUCUAUCUAGCGACUUCAGGGAGGCCAGGUCCGGUUCUCAUUGAUAUACCUAAGGAUAUACAACAGCAGCUUGUGGUUCCAAAGUGGGACAUGCCUGUGAGGUUGCCAGGAUACACGUCGAGGUUGCCUAAGCCGCCUCAGGAGGCGCUCCUGGAACAGAUUGUGAGGUUGAUCGCCGAAUCAAAGAAGCCAGUCUUGUAUGUGGGCGGUGGGUGUUUGAAUUCGAGUGAGGAGUUGAUCAGGUUUGUAGAACUUACAGGGAUCCCUGUGGCGAGUACUUUGAUGGGUCUAGGGUCGUUCCCGUGCACGGAUGAUUUGUCGCUUCAUAUGCUUGGGAUGCAUGGGACUGUAUAUGCAAACUAUGCAGUGGACAAAAGUGAUCUGUUGCUCGCCUUUGGAGUUCGGUUUGAUGAUCGUGUGACGGGCAAGCUGGAAGCUUUUGCUAGCCAAGCUAAGAUCGUUCACAUUGAUAUCGACUCGGCUGAGAUCGGAAAGAACAAGCAACCUCACAUAUCUGUUUGUGGGGAUAUGAAAUUGGCCCUGCAAGGGAUUAACAGGUUGUUAGAAGGGACAGCAUCAAAGCUUAAAUUUGACUUUUCUGCUUGGCGGGUGGAGCUUGAUGAGCAGAAACAGAAGUACCCAUUAAGUUUCAAGACAUUUGGGGAUUGCAUACCUCCUCAGUACGCGAUUGAGGUUCUUGAUGAGUUGACCGAUGGAAACGCAAUCAUAAGUACAGGUGUCGGGCAGCAUCAAAUGUGGGCUGCACAGUUUUACAAUUAUAGGAGGCCUCGGCAGUGGUUGACAUCAGGAGGAUUUGGGGCUAUGGGUUUUGGGUUGCCAGCUGCUAUUGGAGCUGCUGUUGCAAAGCCUGAUGCCAUUGUCGUGGACAUUGAUGGAGAUGGGAGCUUUAUCAUGAAUGUCCAGGAGUUGGCUACUAUCAGAGCGGAGAACCUUCCGGUUAAAAUUCUUCUAUUGAACAAUCAAUACCUGGGCAUGGUUGUCCAAUGGGAGGAUCGCUUCUACAAGGCCAAUAGGGCAGACUCUUACUUAGGAGAUCCGGCGAGAGAGUCUGAGAUAUUCCCAGACAUGUUAAAGUUUGCUGAAGCUUGUGGAAUACCUGGUGCUCGGGUGACCAAGAAAGCAGAUGUUAGAGCUGCAAUUCAGACAAUGCUGGAUACUCCUGGGCCAUACCUGCUAGACGUGAUUUUUCCCCAUCAAGAGCACGUCUUGCCUAUGAUUCCAAUUGGUGGGGCUUUUAAAGAUGUGAUAGUCGAGGGUGAUGGACGAU